ACAUUGCUAAUGAAAAGCUAAUCUUUUCUAUUAAUAAGUAUUAAGGAAGUAAUUAUGAUCACUGGGCCUUGUAACGUGGGCCUGUAACCCAAGUGGGAGCAAUAAGGUGAUAGAACAUUAGGCCCAUUUGGAUGGUUAUUGGGCUUUGUUUAAUGCUAGUCUUGCCCCUAUCCAAGCAUUGAGUUGGGCCUUGUUGUUGUGUCCAUGCGACGGCAUGGACGCCGUGCCCUCUCCUCAAAAAGGAGGGCACGGUGUCAGGCUGGUUUCACGGAGCAGCGAUAUUGUCCUUCUUUGUGUAGUGGAAGGAUGCCAGGCUGGCGCUUUCACGGCCCCUAGCUUGUCGAGAUGGGUACUCCUAAUUGGACCUUCACCUUUUUUGUUCCUCUAAUUUUUUUCGAACUAUUUGCUUGUUGAGGGUAUUUUUGAGUUAAAAAAAAAAACGACGAAAGCAUUUUUGAACCAAAAACAUAAGAACAAGGGUAUUUUAGAAUCAAAAUUAUAACGUUAAAGGUAAAUUUGACCAAUUUCAAAUAAUUUAAGAGCAAUUUUGUCCUUGUUACCUUAAUCUAAAACCUUCUCUACUAACUAUAAUAGUCGUAUAACAAAUAACAUAAUGAUUAGGACUUAAGAAAAAGAACUUAUUGGUGCUAUUCUUGUUGGUACGAGAUUAUUUCACACUUUCCAGUGCUUAUACUUCUCAUCUAUUGAAAUUCUGUUCAAAAGCUUCGUCCGAGAAAAUUAUUACAUGUAAUUCCAACUAACAAGAAAAUAAAAAAUCAAAUUCCAAGCUCAUAUAUAGAACCAAAGCCCCAAAUAUUCAUAAUAACAUGGGUACUUUAGAACCAAAAUUAUAAGGUAAGGUAAAUUUGACGAAUUUCAAAUAAUUUAAGAGCAAUUUCGUCCUUGUUAACUUAAUUUAAACCUUCUCUAUAACUAUAGUAGUCAUAUAUAUAUAUAAAAAAAUAACAUAAUGACUAGGGCUUAACAUAAAGAACUUGUUGAUGCUAUCCUUGUUGGUAAGAGAUUGUUUCACACUUUGCAAUGCUUAUACAUCUUACCUAUCGAAAUUUUGUUCAACACUUUGCAGUGCUUAUACAUCUCACCUAUCGAAAUUCUGUUCAAAAACUUUGUCUGAGAAUCGUAAUUCCAACUAACAAGAAAAUAAAAAUGAAAUUCCAAGCUCAUAUAUAUAUAUAUAAUCAAAGCCCCAAAUAUUCAAAUAAUUUGCAAGUCAAAAUCAAGAAAUAGGGUGAACAUAACUCAAAAUAGAAUAAAGUGUUUGUAGAAUGGCCAAUACCAAUAGCACAAGAGCAGCCAAUGCUGAAAUAAAAGACCAUGGUGAACUAAAAUAAGUAUACUUAAAACUUGCCCAAUGAACAUGCCAACUACUCUUAUAAUAAUCAUUCACCUUAAUAAACAAUUCCAACAAGUAACACUCAUCAAUGUCAAACAUAACAUCUUUCCCAAGAUUGUUGAUGAAAUUAGCAAUUUCAUAAUCUGUCCCAAAAUAAUUCUCAAUUAUAUUGCAAUCACACAAAUACUCAACAUCAUGUUGUGUGUUCACCAAACAAUCAAGAAAUGUUGCAUAUGUUGUCAUGUGCUUUGAACAAUCUACAUGACAUUGCUCAUAUGCCACACAAUUUAUCAAGAAUGAACUCAUGAAAUCAUCUAUUGUGAUUGUUGGCAUCUCAAUGAAUCCAUUAUUGAAUUUUAUAGCCAAGAAUGUCUCUUCUUUCCUAGGUCUAAGCUUGAUCCCCGCGCGACGAAGCUUUGAGAUGCAUUGUAUGACAUUUGUAGGUGAAUGGUCCCUUCUAUUUUUUGGCUCAAGAAAAAUGUAACUUGAUCUAAGAAAAUCAAGUAAAUGUUUCCCUUCAAGAUUACUAAACUUUUCAAGAACUUCAUUAGGUCUUUGUAAUGUGUUGUUAAAGAAAGUCAAAGCCAAUUUGGCUAAAGAAGGAGUAUUACUUGAUUGGCUAAUAAUAUUGGUAAAGUCAAACAAGAAUUGAAGUAUGAAAAAUGGGAUUUGAUUUUCAAGUCUAAUUAAAUCCCUCAAGAAAAAAGGAUAUAUCCAAGACAUUGAAAUUAGUGGAUCAUCUUUUUCAAUUGGAAUUACCCCUCCAAUUUUUCUAAAAAGCUCAAUUAUAAAACAACCAUCAAGUACCAACAUUUCAACAAACUCAUCUUUGUUGAGAACUAUUGCCUCAGAGUAACAUUCUCUAGCUCUCAUUUCAAAUGGUUGAAUUGCCUUCAAAUAGUCCUCUAAACUAAGCCCUUUUUCCUUUGUCCUCUUAACUAAAUUGCCCAAAAAUCGCCAUUUAUGCUCUUCGAUCAUCUUAACGUUGUCUUUUCCACGAUGGUAUGGACCAAUUGACACGAUUUGAGGCUCGUAGGAUCGACCAUUGACAUUAAUAAAACUUUGAGGUACACGAAAAAUGCAACAAGAACUCCGCCCCGCGGAUUCAUUUAGGAGUUGAGGUGGUUGGGAGAUCUUUUGUUGCAUCAACUCUAGUUGAGUCUUGUUUAUUUCCCAAUUGAUUGUUACAACAUGUUGAUCUUCAAUUGAAAUUUCACUCAUUUUGAAUUUUUUUUUGGAAAAGAGAUGUCCAAUUGAUGAUAUGUGCAUGUUAGCUAGUAUAUAGUGAGUUGGAGAGUGUAAUUAUUAAGAAACAAAAUGAUUGAGAGGUUAAUAUUUGUUUAUAGGCAAUAAAUUGAGCACUUUUAAUUAUUUUAUUGUUAAAAUUGGUUGGAACUAAUUAGAAAACAAUUAAACAUCACAUGCAAGUUUUGUCAAUUGAUUGAUAGGGAAGAGGACUAAUAGGUGCAAUAUAUAUAUUGUGGUGGUCAAUUCGAGUUUAAUAUUUAUUUAUAUAUUAUUUAAAAUUUUAUUGAUAAAAUAUUAAACUGUCGUCUAAUAUUUGAAUAACUUGCACCAAAUUUUAGAUCGUAAUCUCAUAAAAUUUUCAAUUUUUUUAAAAAAAAUAUAUAUAGACCAUGAUCUCAAUUUAUUAAAAGUUGUCAAAAAAAAAGGGAAGAAAGAGCAAAAGUGUCAUUAUUGGGUAAUUUUUCAAAAGAAUUAACAAAAAAUAAUAAUUUUUGGGCUUUAUGAAUCACCUUGAGCUUUAUUAAAUUAGCUCGAAACUCAUCUAUUUAUCAAAAUAUACCAAUAUAAACGAAAUCAUUAGAAUUAAAAAUUUAAAAGACAAUGAAAAUAUCAAAAUAUGAGGCAAAUAAUAGCUACUAUUAAUAAUAUUGUAAUUUAAAAGACAAUGAAAAUAUCAAAAUAUGAGGCAAGUAAUCUAAUAGCAUAAUAACUUAAGUAACAAACUCAACAAAUGCCCCUCAACCAACCUCUGUGUGUAUAUAUAUUAUUAUAUAAUAUAAAGAAUAACUCAAAAUUAUCUAGUUAGAUAAUCUUCUCAUUUUAUCAUUAAUGAAAUAAUUUAUAAAUAUAUAAAUAUGUGUGUCUAGCACACUAAUAGUAUUUUUUUUUCUUUGGUAUACUAUAUUUUCAGACAAAUACUGUCACAUAAAUUAGAAUAGAGAGUAUAAUAUUAUCGAUGUUAUCCAAUAGAAAAAAAAAGAGAGAAUAGAGAAGGGGGCAGAAUAGUAAAUUACUAAUUAGAAGGUUAGUUGUACAAAACCCUAGUUAGCUAAAAUCUAGACCUCAAUGAUCCUAAUUGAGAAAACUUUCUAAAAUUGGUUGCUUCCACCUAACAAAAUACAAAUGUUAAUGUCUCUAUAUAAAUAUCUAUGCUUAGCUUCAAGUUCAAGCUUCCAAACUUUAGAACUCAUCUUAUGGUAAUUAACAUUCUUUGAUUAACACGAAAAAUUAUACUGUGUAGAUAGAUCAAAACAUUUUUUUAACACGAAAAAUUAUACUGUGUAGAUAGAUCAAAACAUUUUUUUAAUCACAUGUAUGUACUAUAUAUAUUGUGAAUCCUUUUGACACUAUAUACAUGUGUACAUUUUAAAUAUUUGAUAUAUUGCCCUUCAUAAAAUCUUGAUUUUGGUAGUGUUUUGGUUUUGAUUAUAGAAUACCAUAAUCAUAUCUUUAUCAAACAAGAACAAAUAGAAGAUUAAUACAAAUAAUGAAAUUAAGUUUAAGCAAUUAAGGGAGAGGGUUUACCCUGUACGCACCCAAAAAGUAGCAGCUGCGACUUUUCAUUGUCAACGAACAAGAAAAUAAUCAAGAAAAUAAAACACAAGUAGUUGCUUCCUUUGAACCAAAACCCUUUACAAGCAAUAAAAGAACAUUGAAAUUAACACACACAUAAUUAUAAUUUACAUAUAUAUUUUACUUAUCUAAGUUCAACAUUAUGUUAAACUCAUGUUGCUUGUAGAAAUAGCAAAUUAUUAGGUAUAAUUCCACAAGUUUUGGUAGGUAAUAGUAGUUUGAUCAUCAUCAUCAUGCAUAUAAAACCUUGGUGGACUAAGUAACAUCCCUUCAGCCAUAUUAACAAGAACAUUUGGCAUAUCAAAUAUCAAAUCCUCAUCCAUAAACUCAAAAUUUUGAAUUUCCACAUUCUCCAGUUUACCCUUUUCAUUAAUUACUACCUCCCUAUGCACCGCAGCCGCGGCUAACAACGCGUCCCCGGCUGCCCCAAUAGCUGCAGCCGCCCUGGCUGCAGCUGUCUGGAUGUCACGAGCAGAGCUCGUGGCAGGAACAGGAAAAGAGGCAGCCGAGUUCGGGAAGUUAAGAUCCGCCUCGGGACCUUUUAGGGCUAUGGCUGCCACGUCAUACGCGAUGGCGGCCAUUUCGGGUGUCGGAAACGUCCCGAGCCAAAUCCUAUUAGGGGAUUUUGGCUCGCGAAUUUCUGACACCCAUUUUCCACUACUUUUUCUUCUCCUUAUUCCUCGGUAAACGGGGUGACGCCCUGAAUAAGAUUUAUUAUUGGGGGCAGUUCUAGAGUUGUUACUGCCCCCGAUAAUAAUGUUCUUUCCACCAUAAGUAGUAGUUGUCAUUUAUAAAUAUAUAUAAAAGAUUUGCUUGAGUAUAAUUAGGGUAAGGUUCUUGGAAAUUAGGGUUAAGAUUAUUGAAAUGGAUUAAGGAAGCCAUUUAUGGAAAGGGAAAAUUUUGUGGAAUAGAGAUGAAAAUUGAAACCAGUUAUUGAUGAACUUGCAAGUGAGUGUGUUUUGUGUGAAGGAUUUUGGGUGUAAGGCAAAAAGGUGAUGGACUUGUGAGUUGGAUACUUAAGUGUUGGAGAAUAAUUACCUUUUUAUACAUUUAGAAUUAGGUUUAAUAGUACUAUUAUCUUCUUGUUGUUUUGAUGAUUAAGAUAGUUAUAUUUGUGAACCAGCAUGUAGACAUCUCAACUUGGUCUCGAUUACUAUGAAAUUUAUUAAUAUUGUGUUUCGUGGACAUUUGACGCUGACGUGUCAAAAAACAUUAUUGAUAUCUCGAUGAUCAUUUUGUAAGUUGAAAUACUGUCCAAUUGAUGUGCAUACUCAAAAUUGAAAUAUUUUUAUUAUCAGUUGAGACCAGGUUAAAUCUAUAUAUUUAUAUUAUGUGUAAAUAUAAAUUAUAGUAAGUUUAAAUAUCAUGUAAAAUAGUAUGCAAGAAGCCAUCUUUUUAUGUAAAUUUUCCUAUCCAAAGGAUAAUCUCUAUAGUGAAAUUACAAGUAAAACUUAUAAUGAUUAUUUCUUGUGAAUUUAUUUUAGUGCUUAAGCUAAAAUGCUCUAUACACUUGCUGUAAAACUUAUAGAUUUCAAGUGUCUUUCGAUAGUGACUGCACCUUGGUCUAGUUUGAUGUAUAGUUCGAUAAACAAAGCAUUUCGUAUUUGUAUAAAAGGCUCGGGAAAUGGUUGUAUGCGAUGCAUUGUCACGUAGACAAUCUAUUGUAUGCAAAGCAUUAAUGACGAUUUUCAUAAUUCGAACUCAUGACUUUUAUAUUGUCACACGUAAAAUUAUUUUGUCGUUGCUAUAAAAUUCCCAUUUUCUCUAUAUAGUUAAGUAAUUUCUACAAAUAGUAAAAAAGAUUACACCUAAAGAAUAAAUACAUCAUAUAAUAUAAAAAGAUGACUAGAAAAUAAAUUAGAAAACUAAAAGACUAGAAACGUUGGAAUACUUCGUAAAAAAUUACUUUCUUGCUACCCUCUUUUCUUAGGAAAAAAAAUUAUCGUAUCGACUGUUUAAUUCAAACUACAUCAAUUUAUGUGUUUAAUAAAUUAAAAGUAUUUACUAAUUAUUUAUGAUAAGUAAGAGACAUAUUUAUACAAACACGUGUUAUACGUAUAUCAAUUUAAUAUAAAUACUCGAUACAUAUAAAUUUUUACUUUAAGAGGAAAAGCCUUCCCCCACUAACCCUAAUUUUCAGCUUUUUAACACCUUGAAGGGAACACCCAAAAUAAAAAGAUUUGAUAAUGUAUGGAAAGUAAAAAUGUAUGGGCUUUGAAUCUUAAUCUUUCUAAACAGUAACACAAGUUCAUAAUAAAAUCUUUGUUCUCUAUGUAAUUUUUUAAAAAAAAGUAGACCGUUUACUUUUCUCGUUCGAUGUACGAUACUUAUUUUAAAGUAAUGAUUAAUUUGAAUCCGUGUCGUAUACAACUCAGUAUUGAUUCUCAACUCAUGUGUAUAUUGAGCUAUGUAUUGUAUAACUGCAAAUUGGGCCUCAUGUUAUAUAUAUUAGCCCAUACUAGAUGGACAUAAGAGAGGAAGAUAAUAAAGCCCAAUAACAAUGGGCUCAUAAUGGUUCCCUUAUCUCAUUACCCGUUAACAAGUGACUUUGUUAGGAAACGUUUUACUGACAUAAAAAAAUGCGAGAUUUUUUUGAUAUAUUUUUGAAUUUAGUCGGACCACAAUAUGAAAAUAGAACACUCAAUGGAAAUUCAUGCUUAAUUAUUUCUAAAUUUGUUUAAUCAAACAUACAUUUUUCAACUAGUUGUUGGGAUUUAUAGUACUUCUCUAAUUUAUUUUAGGGGAAAGGGUUCGAAAUAUAUCCCAAUUUUAACUGAAACUGCUGUAACAAUUUCAAACUUUUGGCAGAACCUAUUUUCCGCUGCGCUAUUCAGUAGUGUAUUUUAAAAAUAUGUAAGUGUCCACGUGGACAUCAUAAAUAUUGAAUCAUUAAAAAUAGUAUAUAUUUUUAAAAUACACUAUAAAUAUAUAAUGCGGGGAGGUCUAUCCCAAAGGUUGGGAUAAUUACAACAAUUCCUGCCAAAGUUUGAAUAUAUUUCAGACUUUUUUCUUUUUAUUUUAUGUGAACAUGAUAUUAUUCGGAAGUUAAACAUUUUUUUUUCAUGAUUUAUUUUAUUAAAAUAAAAUAUUGAAUUUUGUACCAUACAAAGGAUUUGUAGUACUUUUUGUAUGGUUUUAAAUAUACAAAUUUUAUUUUAAAUAUUAAAAAAUCUACCUUCAAAUGCAUAGUAAAAGUAUAUUUUCUGAAUCUCAUAUUCUGAAUACCUUUCGUGUAUUUUGAGAUGGAGAAAAUAUUAUUCAAUAUGCAAGAUUAAAGAAUUUAAUUUUAAAAUUAAUCCCUCAUUAAAGUAUGAAUAUAUAUCAUUUACUUACUUCAGAAAAAAAUAUAGAUAUCUAUAUCUUGUAUUUGUAUAAAUGAUAAAUGUGUUUCAUUUAUUGUUUUGGUGAAAGUAUCAAAUUCGAGUAAAUAUUUAAUUAGCUUUAAUCACAAAUUUCAAAAUUUUAUCUCCAAAUAUUUAUUUAGAUACAUAUUCUAGAUUAUCUAUUAAAAAUACGUCAUUAAAAAAAAUCCAAGUUUCAAAAAGUUAUAAAAAAAAAAAACACAAAUACUUAGCCAAAUUCUUAACCAUCGCUUGAUCGACACGUGUCAAGUUAGCCCGCGUUUUAUUUAUUCAAAUCUCAGAAUUUUCAACUAAAAGGUGAUUAUUUAUUCAUAAUUUAGAAAAAGUUAAUAAUAAUUUUCUUAAGUAUAAUGAUUAUACUUAUUUUUCUUUUUCUUAGGGUUGACAACUCACUCCCAUAUAAUGAUAAAACAACUUUUUAAAAUACAACCAUUAAUGAUUCACCAAGAAUGUUUUUUAUAGGUAUUGGAUUGGUUAUUUAUCUCUUAAAUAGAACUGAUCGUUGUUUUGCGAUAAAAGUUAUUUACAAUUGAUUUUAUAUUGUUCGUCAUUAAUUUAUCACUAAAUCUAAUAUGAUGUUUUUAUGAUAAUUCUUCACUAUUUUAUUUUUAUUGUUAACAUAAAUAUAAAAUUGACUAAUGAAUUUUUGUUGUUUAGCGAUAGAAGUUAUGUAUAUUUAAUUUUUUUAAUCAUAUACUUUUCUAGCCAAUAAUCAUUUUUUCCAACUUAACUAGCAAACAUUCUUCUCACACUCUAUAGUGCAACAAUUAAGUUUUCUACAAAGAAAAAUUAUCGAAAGGGCACUUCUCACUUAAUUAGUACUAAUUACUAUUUAAUGAUAAUGACCUCUAUGUUAUUUUGGCAAUAAUUUUCUUAGCCUUUUUGAAGAAAUAAAUGAGAAAAUAAUAAGCAUCAUUUUCAAUUUAUGGGGCCUUUAAUCGAUCAUGCUAAUUAUAUAUUCCAUGUGGGGUCCUAAAAAAUUAUCUUGAUAAACUCAAAAUUAUUCAUAGGUUGAUCUAUCCUAUCAAUUUAAUUGGAUUGAAAUACAUAUUUCUUUCGAAUCUUGAUAGUAAAAUUAUUGUCAUGUGAUCAAGAGGUCACAACUUUUAACAUAUACAAAAAUAUAAGAUAAAAUUGUACUUUAUAAACUCUUAUAAUUUGAUCAUUUUUAAAUCUCAUAUAUAAUAAAAGUUUAGUAUAUCAAAAUUUUGAUUUUCAAAUAUUACACACUUAACGAUGAUUAAUGAUUCAGAUGAAUUUGGACUUUCGUAUGAUCACUUGUCGUACAAUAUCUUAUGAUAAUAUAUAUUCAUAUGUGUAAAAUAAUUGGUUGAAGUAAAACUAUUGGCAAUGGAGUAUUAAUUAAUAUUUUCUCUUUGUUCCAAUAUUUCCCAAUCAUUAUUUUUAUAUUCAAAUAGGAAAAAGGGGUCUUGAACCAUUAUCAAUGUUUUAUUACUCUUUAUUUCUAAAUGACACACUAUCUAUGAUCUAAUAUUAUUUAUUUGUAUAAUAAUCAUUGGUGAAAUAUUGUUGAUUGUCGUUAAUUUUAUUUAAUGAUGAAUUGCAAAAGAAAUCAUCCUAUCAAUUAUAAAAUAUUUAGUGAUAAAUUAACGAUGAAUGACAAUAACUUAUUUAUAGAGCUUUUAAAUAUAUAGAUAUGUCAAUUUUUAUUGAGCAAAUAAAUGAAAGUGUGUUUAAUUAUAAUCCUAAAUGAAUGGAAACCUAGUAUGUAUUGGACGUACGUAAAAUUAAAUUUAAUCAGAUUUUAGUGGAGAUAUCAAUUACGGUAAUUGAAAGGUCUUAGGAGAAGUCAAGUGGUAUCAAUUGCAAGUUAGUCUCUCUAAUAUAGAUAAAAAAAAAUUUAAUUAAAAUUUUUGGUAGGUCCCACAAUUAUGCAACUCAAUUUAAUUAUUGUACCAAAAUUGUACCCUCUUUUUUUUUCAAAAUUAUUUCGUCUUUUAGAAGAGGAAAUUAAAUUAUUUUCCAUCAUACUUUGGUUGUCUUUUCUAGGAGAAAACCAUAGGGAGUAACUAUUAAAAAAACAAGAUUAAGUAAUAUAUAAAUAAAUAAAGAGACAUUAUUUUUAAUCAAAUAGACUAAAAAUAAUACGGUAAGACUAGGGGUGUCAAAUGGAUGGGUUGGGUUGAAAUUGAAAAUCUUAUAGGUUGAAUAGAAAUUGGGUUGGGUCUUGAUCCGCCCAACUUUACUUUGGGCUCAAAUGGGCUAAAAAAAGGAGUUGGAUCUUGACCCGCCAAUUUGAGCCAAUUAAUCUAAAAAAUUUAACAUAUUGAUAUUUAAUUUUUAUAAUCACAAUUUGAAUUUCUGCUCAAGAAUUUUUUGUUAAAAAGUAACAAAUAGAUAGAUAAAUCCUAAAAGAGGUUAAACAAAUAAUAAUUCAUACCUUCAAUAUAGAAACAUAUAUUAAUAAAAAGUUUUAAACCGAGUAGAAACUGAAGAUUGAACUCAAUUUAAAUUAUCUUAAGUCCAACCCUUGAAAUUCCGAAUGGAUUAGACGACUUACCUAUGUUUGGAUUCAUUUUUUACAUCCCCACACAAAGGCAAACAAAUUAAAAUUAAAAUUAAAUUAUAUUAAUUAAUAACAUAUUAAUAGUUUAUCUUAAUAUGAAUAUUAUUAUUUAUUUUUCAGACUCGAACUCAUGACUUAUAAAUUACACGACGAAAGAACAUGUAAAAGAACUAAAAUAUGUAGAAGAAAUUAUAUAUGUAAGGUUUAAAAAUAUUGAAACUCAGAAAAAAAAUUGAAUAAAUACAGAGAGGUCAGAGCAAGGGCAAGUCAAAAUUGUACAAAUAGCAAAUAAAUGGGAGAUUAUGAUCAGAGCCAUGCAUGCCAUGCAGAAGAAGAAACACACAUGAGGGUGCGUUAAAUCAGAAAUUUCGUUAAAAAUAUUUAAAUUUAAUUUAUAAAUAUAAAAAAAAUAAACUUAUUAACGUAUAUAUAUAAUGUAAUACGAUUUUUCAUCUAAAGGUUUUCACUAUCAUUUACUAUAUAUGGGCUCAUUCAGGACAGGUUUAGAGAUAUUGUUACUACUUAUAAUUUAUGUGUACAUAAUUAAAAUCUUUCUUUUAAGAUCUUGUAAAUAUGAAAGAAAUCUAAUUAAUUUCUAUAAGCACAUAUAAUUUUGAAUUUAAUUAUUAUUUUAAUGAUAUUAAAUUUAGAAUUAUUAUAAAAAUUAAUAAAAUUUAAAUUUUGAAUCUGUUUUUCGACAAGCUAGAGGGAGUAGGAGGAACAGAUGGCACCUGAGAUCUAGCAAACAUGUAUUAUAUAUUGGCCACUCAAACUCUACUACUACUACUACUCUUUGUAGCUCUAUAGCUAAGAUUUAACUUUUUUCUUUCGCUAUUUAUUUUUGAGAUUCGAUUUAUUUUGUAUAAAGAAAUUUAUUUUAAAGUAUACAUCACUUCUUAAAAAGGUAAUUUCAUUUUCAUAUCUUGAAUUCAGAAUAUCUGAUUAACAAAGAGAGAAUAUUUAUCAUUUUAUCACAUGUCGUUGGAUAACUAAUACUAUUAAAAAAUGUAUAAAAAUCGAAUUCAAAAUAUCUGAUUAACAAGGAGAGAAUAUUUAUCAUUUUAUCACAUACCGUCGUAUAACUAAUUCUACUAAAAAAUGUGUCAAAACCGAUGAACAGGGUUGGUUUCGUAAGUAAAAAGCAACAUCAUAUCAAAUUUUGGUGCCUUAAUUUCAAAAAAACGAUUGACAAUCAAUCCUGUCCAUCGAUUUUUUGAAUAAGAAAAAAAAUCCACGGAUUGAAUUAUUUGAACUGAUCCUAUCCGUUGAUUUUUUUUCUCCAUGAGUUUUUGCAUUAUUUUUGGUAAUGUAAUAGGUUCUAUGACUAUAUACAUACUUUCUCUGUCCAAUGACUUACAUUUCUUUUUAGUUUAUUAAAAAAAAUGACAUAUUUCUAUAUUUAACGACAUACAAUUUAACUGUAAACUUCAAACUUAUCCUUGAUGAAAAAUGAUUUCUAGCCACAAAAACGUCUAUGACUUAUUUUUAAAUCAAUAAUUUCAAAAGUCAUUUUUUUAAACUUCAUACUACGUUAAACUAACUCGUAUAAAUUGAAACGAAGAUGUAACACUCUGCAAAACUGACUGACUAUCAAUGCUAGCUAGAUGUGUCAUGUUUGUGUAUUAUUACAACAUUUACUAUGUGCAUGGAUGUAACGCUUUGUCUUCAAUUACAAGCUAUCAGUAUUAUUUCACUAUUUAGUGUGUGUGUGUGUAUGUGUAAUGUGUUGUGUUAUCUUCUCAUCUCUGAGCAAACACACACUCAUAUGUAAUUUUUUGUUUCUCUAGAGGAGGCAUUAGGUCACUACUCACCUGCAUACCUAUAAUAGGCAUCAAAUUUCUUAUUUUUAUCAACUUAGGAUAUUAUUUUUAUCAACUUGGCUAACUUCUAGAAAUUGAUAAAGGGUAAAAUGGGGAAUAUUAAGUUGAUUAUUUCAAAAUUAUAAAUCGUGUCAUUCUUGUUUAAACAGAUUAAAAAGAAUUAAAACGGAGUGAUUGUAUGUAUAAACCUAUGAUAGUAAAUGCAAACUUGCUAAUGUCAAGGUAGAACAAUAUUUUCAAGGAGGUCGAUAAGCAGUGGCGUAGGAAUUUUAAAUAAGGGGGUUCAAAAUCUGUAGAAAUAGAUUCACAAACUAGUCAAAAUUGGUUCAACAUUUACUACAUAUACAUUAAAAAUUUAUUUUAACCAUAAAUAAAUAAUAUAAAUUUUCACCGAAAAGGAUUCGGAUGAACCGCCUUAUACUAAGGUGGCUCCGACCCUAUCAAUGAGGUUGCAAACCAUCUUGCUAAGUUGGCUAAGAACCGUCGAAAUGAGAAGGCAAUCUUUUUUAAAUUUCAAGAUUCAAACAAUUAAUUCUUUUUUUAUCGUAAACUUUGACUUUUAAAAUUUAAAUCGUAUAGUAUACAAUGGAAUAGUCCUUUUUAACUAUUUUUGUUGGUACUAUACAACUGGAAAAAAAAAGAUGUAGAGGUAGCUGGAAUUUUAAUAAGAGUAGUAAUUAAUCAAUUGAUAUGGAAAAAUGGGGGCAGUUUAAUUUGGGUUUUUCUUCUAUGUGUUUGACAUUUUGUAGGGCCAAUUUUUACUGUUUUACUAUAGUUUAUCUCUUACUUUUUAAUUUUGUUUGGAUGUGUAGUGGUCCAUGGACCUAUAUGCCUACCAUUUUCGAGAUCGGAAAUAGAAUAUAACUUACGAGUUUAUAAAAAAAAGUUAACUUGAUAUAUGUAUCUGAAACGUUUAUUUAAAUAAUUUAAUUCAAAUCAUUGAUUUUGUACCUUUAUAAUCGAAAAAAUCGUGAUAAGAUAUUAACUAUAAAAGAAUAAAUUAACGAGGUAAGAUAACUUUAUUGUUAUGCUACAAAAGAUCAGGUGUUAAUAUAAUUUAUCGAUGAAUUAUCAAAAAUCAUAUUACAGUCUAACACCAAAUAGUAAAGAGGAGGUUGCCCUACUAAGCCUUAUAUCUCGAGCUUUGAAAUUAUAUAAAUUCUUUUUGUUUUAUACCGUUAAAAAUUCAGAAUUUUUAAAUUUUAAAUUCGAUCCAUUUACUUCUAAUAAUUUUUUAUUUUUUUUUGGGAAAUAAUAAUAUUAAUGUGAGUUGUAACGUACUUUUUGUUCUUAUCUUUGGAUCCAUUUGGUAGGUGCCAAUUUAUACUCUCAAUUUUUGAAAAAAAUUGUUGAGCCUUCAAUGAUUCACCUUUAUAUGAAUCCCUAAAAUGCCGGGUCCCGACCAAAAUGGGUCCUUUUUAGCCCAUCAAUAAUAUAGGUUAUAUAUGUCGACGACCUACUAAUUGUGACGUUCAUAACAGAAUAUGUAAAUCAUCAAAUUAAGUUGGUCAUUCAGAAAAUUGAUCGACUUUUAAAUUAACAAGUUAUUUAAUAAGUGAUGUAUGUGAUAUUUCAAGCAAAUUUUUACGUAUUAAAAAAGGGUGAAAAGAGCUACAUGCUACGUAGAUUGCAUAACACAAGUUAUUGAAAUUAUUAGAGCCAAAACGGAUAAUAUAUGUCAUGAGUUCUGAUUUUGACUACACCAAUACACAAUGAGGGUUUGAUUUAAGAGGAUGUGAACUUCUAAACUCUUGUCAUUUGAAAUUUCACUACGAAAAUAUUUGAAUCAGCUAGAGUUGACAAAAUUUAACACUGUUCAUUCAAUCUGUUUAAGUUUAGAUGGGUUAUCGAUCCGUCUAUUUAUCAGUUUUAUUCAUUAAAAAUUAGAUUCAUAUGUAAUCAGAAUCGACUCAUGAGAAAUCUUGAUAAAACAUUUUUGAAUAUAACUUUUUUUUUUCCAGUUUGAUAUGUUAUAUGUAGGAGUUCGGAGCCUAAAUUGUAUAAAAUAUUAACAAAAAUUUCAAAAUGGUAUAUAAGAUUUUUAUAUUAACCAAAACGGCAAAAUUGCUGAAACAACAACGAUUUACUCCAUCGAAAAAAGCAAAAUCACUGCUACUGCAGCGAUUUUGCAAAAUGUGAUUUUUUUUAAAAAAAUCAAAUCGCUACCUUGACACCGAUUUUCAAUUACUUUUUUUAAAAAAAAUUCUUUAGCAACGAUUUUCAAUUUAUUUAUUUUUUUUAAAAAAAAAUGUUUGAAAAUCGCUGCAAUUUACACUUUUAAAAAAAAAAUAAUUGAAAAUCGCAGCGAUUUUUUUUAAAAAAAUAAUUGAAUAUGCUCUGCCUAGGUAGCUAUUUUCUUUAAAAAAAAUAAUUGAAAAUCACUCCCUUUUCAAAAAAAAAUAAAUUUAAAACAAUCGUUCUCUAGGUAGCGAUUUGAAUUUUUUUUUUAAAAAAAUAUAUCACAUUUUGCAAAAUCGCUGCAGUAGCAGCGAUUUUACUUUUUUCGAUGGAGUAAAUCGCUGUUGUUUCAGCGAUUUUGCCGUUUUGGUUAAUAUAAAAUUUUAUAUACCGUUUUAGAAUUUUUGUUAAUAUUUUAUACCCUUUAGGCUCUGGACUCUUAUAUAUAAACAUUAUAUAAAGAAGAAAAUAAUUUUAUUAGGUACUAAAAUAGUUUAAAACAACAAAUAAAACAAGCUUAGUAAAAAUUGAAUUGGAUUGAGUGUUGAUCCGUUAUAUAAUUCAUUACCUAACCCAUUUUGGCCCGAGCAAAUGUCUGUUGAUCCAAUUAUUAUCUGAACCGCUUAUGACCUGUCUAAAUUUGACACAGCCGUCCAAUUACCACCCUUAGAAUCAGCUAACAAAUAUUAUUCAUGAAUAUAAGCAAUAUUUUAAUAAUUCAUUAAUAACGUGUUAUUACUAAAUAGAAUUUGCAACAGACUUUAUUAUUCCACUAAAAAUAGAAGAAAAAAAAUCAGAAAAAAUAACAAAAAUAAGAGGAACAGAAAGUAGUAACAGUCCCUUUGUUGCAAAGGUUUUAAGAGCUAAUAGAUCAAUGGACGUACAAUUCAUACGUAAAAAAAGUAGCAGCAGAAAAUAGUACUUUUUUUUUUUUAAAUCACGUGGACUGAUAAUUAUGUGACGGUAUUUAAAAUAUAAAAAUAUAAAAUAUUAUGUACAAUAAUUGAUUACCACCCACCCCUUCAUUUCCAAAUUCACUCGAAAUCGGGUGAUUCGACAAUAUUAAAAAAAAACAUAUAUUUUUAAGUUUUUAAAUUUAAAGAGUCUCAUUUUUAAUAAUAGUAGGUUAUCAGUUAUUAAUUUUUAACAAAUAUUGAGUACUAUUCGUAAAAAAAGUAAACUUUUCAUGAAAAUGAAAAAAUUAUUAGAAGAAUGACAUAUUUGAAAUACUAUAUCUCGUGAAAAAUAAUUUCAAAUAAGAAUGGUUAUGUUAUCAAUUGAAAACUAGAACAAAUCAAUUAUAUAAAAGUUAUUAACAAGUCAAGUUUAAAGCCCCGUUUGAUUUUUGCUUUAGGCGACUAAUAUGUUGGAGCGCUCCAGUCUGGAACAAAGUCGAGUGGGAGAAAGAGAGUUCAUUUGAAUUAUUUUUACGAUAUUUUUUAUAUAUUUUUUAAUUUUCUACUUUUUUAUAUUUUUUAAUUUUAUGAUGAAAAUUUUAACUCUGCUAUUAUUAUUCGUAAGUCUCUUAAUAUAUUUUUUGAUAAGUGCGGCCUAUAGCUAUAACCACUCUUGUAUAUAAUUUGGUGAUAAUAUCCCAAGCAUAGUAUAAAUGCAUGUACCUCUUUUUGUGGGAUUGAGAGGAUAUAUAUAUAUAUAUAUAUAUAUAUAUCAUUUCUCGGUUGCAUUUUCAUGUGUUAAAAAUUGAGUUUGAAAUUUAUUUUUCAUACAUAUUUUACGAAUUUUUAAUACAUAACAAAUCUAAAUCAAAUCUAUUAAAUUAGAUUGAACCUAUAUAUUACCUUCUAAAAUCACCCCAAUAUUUAAUUUAUUCAUUUGAGCAAUAAAUUGUCUCUUUAAUUUAAAAAUUAUUCUUAAUCAAACGAUUUACUCCAAAAUGAGAUAAAACUAAGUGAUUUACUCUAAAAUAAUGAGAUCUUUUAUCGAUUUCAGAUAUAAAUCUCUAAAAUAAAAUAAAAUAUCUUUUUGAAAUUGGCACUUUGAAAAUAGAUCCAACAACUAUAUGUUGACUCAACUUUAAUUUAAUCUCAAUAUAUUUAUUAAAAAUAUCCAACGAUAAACUAAAAAAUGAGUCCACCAUAUCUUAUAGGUCAUUUUAAAUUGUUCUAGCUAGUACUACAUGUAUAUAUAUAUAUAUAUAUAUAUAUAUAUAUAUAUAUAUAUUCCUUUUCUAUAAUAAUAUCCAAUGAUUUUGAAAGACAAAUUUAACUGUUUCUUGUUUUAAUUCAUGCAAAUAAAUAAUUGGUUAUGGUGAGCACCUGCAAUUGGCAAAAAAAAGGCAAAUGGGUUCAUAACCUAUAGUUUAUAAAAGGAGGCACAAGUUUUCAAGACAUUUUUUUUAAAAUUAAUUAAUUUAAAAAUAUUUCCUUUGACCACUACAGUCUAUAACUAACAUGUGAAAGCCAUUAAUAUAUUAAAUUAAUUUUGGAAACUAUUUUCCCAACAUUACUUUUUAAGGAAACUUUCUCAAAACUUGUAAAGUUUGCUAAACUAAUUGCAAGAUUUUCAAGGGGACCAUAGUGAUCAAUGUUUGAGACUUGAGAGACAUGUGUACAUUAAUCUCAUUUUUGGUAUUUUAAAAUCUGCGACGCUCUAAAAUGAAUAACGAACAUAAAAUGAAAAAUCAUAUUCAUUCUCGAAUAACUUUUACUUUUAAGUGAGAUAAUCAUAUAUAACGACAUAAUGUCAAGAGGGCAUAAAAACAUUAUGAGUUUAAAUCUAUUGAUGUCGUUGAAGAGAAAAAAAAACUUGUACUAGUAUUAUUAUACUUUUUAAAUCUAAAACAAAUGGGGGUUGACGUAUUUUACAUAAGUAUCUUUAUGGUUUAUUUGUGUCAAAUUGAGAUCGAUAGUACAAGCAAGCUCAUAUAUAUAUGAUACAACAGAUGUUGCCAUCCAAGAGAAACAAUAUUUUUAUAUUUUGUCCGAAAUAUUUAAUUAUUUAAACAUUUAAACGAUAUAAUGCACAUAACAUAGUUAGAAAAUAUAUAAGAAGUUUUAAGUAACAUAUAAGGAGAUAAUACUAAUUAGUAAUUAUAAUGCAAAAGUUAAUGCUCUUUGCCUCAUAAUAUCAUUGAAGCAUAUGGCUAACAAUGAUGAAACAACCAAAUAUGGAAAUUCUUUUGAUGAUUUUUGCCAUAAUGAAUGAAAUUCUUUUGAUGAAUUUUAAAGUAUUUUUUUAAAAAAAAACUUAAUUCAACAAUAAUUACUUAAUUAAUGAAUUUGAAUAAAUUUAAAUGAUUAAGUUUUAAUAUGCGUUUAAAAAAAUUCUAUCGAGAUAACUAUCAUUGAUCAUAUUUCCAUCCAUUAUUAUCACUUAAUUACUAUCACUCUAUACAAAAAAUAAUCUUUAGUGGUAACUAAUUAAUGAUUAUAGUUUAAGUUGUAAAAUAUGCAAUUUUAGCGGUAAUUAUCAUUAUUUUUUAAAUGUUUCUAAAGACUAUACCGGAAUGAGAUCUCAUGACAAUUAACUAAUGAUGCCUAUAAAAAAUCAUCACUCUUUAUUAAUGUGAAUAUUUAUUGUCGCUAAAGGUCGUUUUAUUAUAGUGUCACCUCAGGUAUCACCAAUUCCCCAUCAUCGAUGUCAUCUUUUAUCACUUUCAAUUAUCAUCAUUCACAAUCACUAUCAUCACGAAUUACCAUAAUUAAUCGUCACCAAUACUAUCUAUUUUUUACAAUUAUUACCAUAGACAACAACUACCACAAUAACUAUAUCAAUCAAAUAAUCAGUCAUUAUCAUUAAUUAUCACUAUCAUCGAUCAAAAUCAGCGACACUACUAUAAAGUAUUAUCACCAUUAAUCACUAUGUACUCUUUUUUUUUUAAAAAAAAAAUGAACAUAGCAUUCAAUGGAUUAGUAUUUUUUAAAAAAAUUAUUAAAAAUAUUUAACUACUAACAUGCAUCAAUAUGAACCAUGUGAAUAAAUUUUUUUUUAAUUUUUUUUGACAUGAAUUCAACAAAGGCAAAAAGACAGACUGCAGUAUGCCUGCAUUAGAUGUGUUUCAUCAUUUCAUUGACCAUUCUAAUCAUUUUCCUUUUCCAUAAUAUAUUCAUUUUUCUUUACUUCUUGAGAAGAAAGUCAUGUGCAGGAAAUACCUAUCUUCUCUCAUAUAAUAUAAAUAAUAUUUAUAAAAAUAUUUUUCUUUUUAAAAAAAUAAAAAUAAAAGAGUUUUACCAAGUGUAGAAUAGGCUUAACUUGACCACAAUAUUUUUUGAAUUUUGACAUAAUACUUAGUUAACAUGCUAGAUCGAUAGACUUUGAAUCUUAUUUCUAACUGAUAUUAUAAAUUCAAUCAGAUACUCUCCGUCUAUUACUAUUCCUUCCGUCUAUUUUUAUUUGUCAUGUUGUAAUUUUCGCAAGUCAAUUUAACUAGUUUUCAAAGUUCAAUUGGAUUACAUUAAUUCGAUAUUUUAAACAAAAAAUUAGAUAUUUAUAAACUAUACAAAAAGUACUAUACAUUGUAAUUUCAUAUGAAAAAAUAUAUCGUAAAUUGUUAAUCAAGAUAUUCAUAGUUUGACUCUAAAAAUAGAAAGUAUGAUCGUUACAGUAGACGGAGAUAGUAUUGAAUAUUCAAAUAUUUAUUCAACUUCCUUUUUUUUUUCUUUGGUCAAUACCUAAAUUCCAUUAUAUACAUUGUUAGUGGACAAAGCUAAGCUAGGGGAACAAAAAGGAAUUAAUGUGUGGCUAGUAGAAAUACAUCAAUAUUUUUUUAGCCUUAUAUACAUCUUUAACUAUUACACCUAAUGUUAAUGUACAAUAAAAUAUAGACAACAUAACUUAAUUCAAUAUAUUAUCUUGAUACCUAGCAACUAGACCAAAUGUCCUAAUGAAUGUUUAAUUUUUUUUCAAAGCUUUGAUUGGUGUAUUUUUCUCAUGUAAGUAGUUUAUAUAUAUAUACACCAAUGCAUAUAUCACUGACUAAUGAGUAGUUUAUAAACAAAAAAAUCUUAAUAAUAUCAAUAUGAAUAUAUAUACUGAUUUAGUAUCAACGAAAUGAAAUUAUCAGUUUUUCGAAAGAAACAUAAAAAGGGAAAAAAAAAGGAAGAAAUAUAGCAUUGGUCAAAUCUCAAAGGUGAAACAUCCUUUUCAUUAUUAAGCUAACAGUACUUGUUGCCCUCUUUUUUGUCUUAAAAGUUGUCAAGCUAACUAAUCAACACUAUUCUGGUAUUUAAAUCAUCUUUUUUCAAAAAUAAAAAUUAUUUGGUAUCCAAUAUUUACGUUAGUUUAGGCAAAUUAAAUAAAAAAGCGCAUUAUUGAGUCAAAUCUCGUUAUUAUUAUACUAUUAACUUAAGGUUAAUGUACAAACUCAUAAAUUUUAAUUUUAAAUCCGCAAAUGAUAAAAACUACAUAUGGAAAGGGCAUAUACUAUCACACUCGUUAGGGUUUGAUCGUUCUCUGAAUUUACGUAAAUACAAAAUACUUUACGCAUCAAUAACAAUUUUUUUUUUUGCAUAGUUAAUUAACCCCACGACUCACUGAAAAAGUACUGUUAAUUAGGAAAACAAAAAGAAUGUAAGUAAGUUGAAGCUUGGAAUAAAAUUUAAAAGCCAAUAAAUAAACAGUACUACCAAUUAAUGAUUUUAUUAUUUUUUAAAGAAUUUAAAUUUAUAUGCAUGCUGGUCCUGUACGUACACUGCAGUGUCAUUACCGUAUAUAUAUAUAUAAUUGAAAUAUAUAUAUAAUACUUUUUUAUUACUAUAAGUGAGAGUCAGUAUAUUAAUUCCACUGUUGUAAGUUUGAGUAACAAAAGGUCAAAAAAGCAGAAUCCAAAGCACUGUUCUAACCUAAUCUAAACCCUACUGCUAUAAAGCAAACUAACCCUACUUUUGAAUAAGACACGAGCUCGUCUGGUAGAACGUAUAAAAAUAAUAUUGAAUGUAAUAUAUGUACACGAGGUCAUUCGGUAAGAAUGUAUAAAAAUAGUUUUACGAAGAUAUUAAUUAGCUAAUAUUAAUAUUAUAUUGAAAUCGAAAUUUAAGAUUCAAAAUAUGAAUAAGUGAACAUACUAAUUAGUCGAAAGGGAUUUGUUAUUUACUAUAUAAGUAUGAAAAAUAAUUUAAAUCAUAUAUAAAUAGAAUAAUUUUCUAUUGAAGGGAAAUAGAUGAAUACUUAAAACUAAUCUAGCUCCGCUUAUAUACAUACAACGAUUACAAAAGCAUUCUAGUGUUACUAUAUAUACUAUGUAUUUUUAUGACUUCUAUAAGUAUCCACCAUUUAGGUUGUGACGGAUGAAUAAGAUGUUCAACUCUUAAAUAGCGAAUUUGGAUUUAAGCUUGAUAAUGAAGAAAAUUUUGUUAUAGAAUAAUGUUGAACGAAUUUAUAUUAGUGGACCCGCCAAAAUAAUGGUCCAGACAUCGGAUGAGGAAAAAAAAAGAAGAAAACCUUAUGUAUGUGUUCAUUUAUAUGCAUUCGCCACCGAGAGUUUUCUCUUUAACGAACCUUACUUGAUGCGAAUUUGUACUAAUCGAAGUUCAAAAACAGACGUUGAAUACCAGAUGAAAAAUAAAACAUAUCUUACAUAUUUUUCCAUAGUAUAUAAAUAUUGUUAUUUUUUCAAAUUACUAAUCCCAUAAAAUAUUAGGUGAUUUCUCUCAGUUGUAUAAUCUUAACAGACAGAGUUACAUAUUACUUCUUGCUUAUAGGUUAGAGAUCACAAAUAUAUCGUAAAACAAGUAAAGAUACACGUAAACUGACUCAGAUACCACGAUUCUUAAAAAAAAUAGUUUAAACUAUAGUAGUGAUUUUGUGUUCUCGUGACCUUUCCACUCUUAUCUGUCCUUUCUUCACUUUGGAUCAAAUUUGUCCCAAAAACACCCUUUCACCUUACACUAUUUUUUCCUGUAUAUCAAACAAAAUAUCUUUAUAAUCUUUUUAUUAUAUUACUCCAAUAUCUUUUAUAAAUCAUUACACAUAUAAAAGAGUGACUAAAGCUUUACAACUCCAUCAAAAAAAAGAGAGAAAAAAUUGGUUCCAUUUUUUCCAGUACUACUCCUUUUUUAUACUCAAAUUCAAACCUUUUUUCUCUAGAAAAACACAAUCCAAAUCAAACUCCGCCGCCCCCUCCCCCCAAAAAAAUAAAUAAAUUCUUUCAUCUUUUUAAAAUAUAUACAGAGUUUGAACUAAAAUUACUGGAUUUCAAAUGAGUGACUAACUCAUAAGAUUUGAUUUGUUGAAAUGGAAGAUCAAUAUGGAAUGGCAGAUCUAAGACAAUAUAUGAACGGUGGGCGUUCGAUUUUCGGUUCGAUCCAACAAGUACCACCAGAACUAUUACCUGCUACUUCUCACCAGCAGCAACAACACGGGAAUCUCGGGCCGGGCCAUCACCACUAUGACAUGGUGAUGGGACUGGCCCAAGUUCCUUCGUCUUCAUCUGGUCACGGGCUUACUACUCCACAUCAUCACCACCACCACCAGCAUCAUCAACAUGAGUUCCUUACGGACUCGAGUACUCCUGUAGCUGUAGCUGCUACAGCUACAGGAGCUACUACUACGAGUGCCGGAUUUAGUGGGAUGGAUCAGAUGGAGACUGGUGGUGGUGGUGGUGGAGACGGAAGCGGGCGGUGGCCCAGACAAGAAACACUUACACUACUUGAAAUCAGAUCAAGAUUGGAUCCAAAGUUCAAAGAAGCUAAUCAAAAAGGACCCUUAUGGGAUGAAGUUUCAAGGUACCAUAUAAUUAAAAAAAAAAUAUAUACACACAAAACCUAAUAUGAUUAUUAUUAUUUUGUGUGUUUUUUGUUCACUUGUGUCAUUAAAUUGGAACGAUACAAAUUAGUAUGAUACAAAUUAAAUCUAGAUAUGGUUCAAAAUUUCUUUCUAAAAUAAUUUCUUCUUAUGUUCUUGAUAUAUAUGAUAUUUUUAAUUUAAUCCUAGUAUUUUUUUUAAUUUUACGUAUAAAUACAAAAAAUAGUAGAUAAAAAAACUAUUCCUAUUUUAGUUAUAGUGAAGAAUUUUUUUUUCCAAAAAUCUUACUCUUAAAUAUGUUCUUAUUUUUUAAAAUUUUAAUUUUUUCAAUCCUUUUAUUUUUUCUCCAACAAAAACAUUAUUAUUCACUUGUUCUUGUAAAAGAAUUUCCUACAAAUUGUUAUUUUGAGUUAUUUACGCUUAUGUUGUUCCGACUCUUCAAAAACAUAUAUCAACAGUUACAUGUUACUAUUUCUAGAGGAUCCAAUACAGGUGGUGGUGCAACAAUAUUUUUGAAGAGUCGGAACAACAUAGAUUUCGAAAAAUCUAUUCAUAUUUUUGUGUACACUGUGGAAAUGAAAAAGGAAACAAUUGAGUUUUCUAGAGAAAAAGCAGCACUUUUAAGCAAAAACUCAUACAGUAAAUAAGUUGCCAAUUUUGUGUUAGAAAAUGACACUACAUUGAAGUUCAGUUAGAGAAUCAGGUGUUAUUUUCAUCUUUAUUAAUACAUCACAUACCCUUUUUUUUUAACUUCAUUUUACCUAGAUCAAAAUUCCUUUUUGCUUGUAAUUAACUAUAUAUAUGUAUUAUAUAUUCCAAAUAGGGGUUUUGUAUAGUUUCUAUCUUUAGGAAAAAUAUCAAUAUUUCAUCACGUGACACAUUGAAUCAUUUGUGGAAUCAAAAUAAGGGUUAAGUCAAAGAAAUAUGAGAAAAUCUUUCUGUCGAUCCAUAAUUUGUUAGAAUUACUGUUUUUACCUUCCUUCCAGAGUAAUCGUAAAUUUUUCACUAUUCCUUUCAUGUAAAUACAAUUCGAGAUGAGAAUUUUCAAAAAAAUUAAACUUAUUUUCCUUUAUAACGACUCAAUUUCAAAUAAGUUAGUAAUUGUAGUUUCCCAUUUCUUAUCGGCUUAUGAAUAUGGUUUUGAUGAUCCUUUUCUUUGAUGUCAGAAGUCAUUUUGAUAUAAGAUUUUAUUUUCUUUCGUCUUAAAACCCUUAUAUAUAUAUCUUACUUAAAUCAUGUCACUCCAUUUAAACUUUUGUUCAACCUUCUUACUACUAAAUAAAUUUCACAUUAACUAAUUAUUUUCUCUUAAUUAUUGUAGGAUUAUGUCUGAGGAACAUGGAUACCAAAGGACUGGAAAAAAAUGUAGAGAGAAAUUUGAGAACUUGUAUAAGUACUACAAGAAAACUAAAGAGGGUAAAGCUGGAAGACAAGAUGGUAAACACUAUCGAUUUUUUCGACAACUUGAAGCUUUAUAUGGUGAAACAAGCAAUAAUAUUUCAUCUACCUCAACGGAUAUUCUUCAUCAGGGAAGUCAUUUUCCUUAUAAUUCCGUUAACAACAUGAGUCAAGAUCCUCAUAAUUUUCACCACCAUCAAGCUUCUAAGCUAUCCGAUAGCAUGAGCUUAUCAAAUUCAUCUGAACUCAAUACGUCUUCCUCAGAUGAUAGUGAUCAUCAUGAUAAGAAGAAGAGGAGGGGGAAGAGGAGUUUAAAGGCGAAGAUUAAAGAUUUCAUUGAUGGACAAAUGAGGAAGUUGAUGGAGAAGCAAGAAGAAUGGAUGGAGAAAAUGAUGAAAAUGAUUGAACAUAAAGAACAAGAAAGGAUAUUGAGAGAAGAAGAAUGGAGGAAGCAAGAAACGAUUCGUAUUGAAAAGGAACAUAAUUUUUGGGCUAAUGAGAGGGCAUGGAUAGAAACACGCGAUGCUGCUUUAAUGGAGGCUGUGAACAAGCUAAGUGGUAAAGAUUUGAAGAGUACUAGUAGUAAUCCACGUAGCCUUGAUGAAGAAAUGGUUGAAAUUCAUAACAGAAACGGAGAUGUAACAGACAGUCUGAAAGAUGAUGUUGACCAGCACUGGCCUGAUAGUGAAAUCACUAGGUUAAUACAACUUAGGACUAGCAUGGAAUCAAGAUUUCAACAAUUGGGAAUUUCAUCAUCAAUAAAUGAUCAUGAUCAUGAUCAUGAUCAUGAUAAUGAUCAUAGUAAUAAUCAUGAUCAUGUAUUAUGGGAAGAGAUUAGUGCAAAAAUGUCCAUUUUGGGGUAUGAUAAAAGUGCUACAAUGUGCAAGAAAAGAUGGGGUAGCAUUAAUAGUUACCUAAUGAAGUGCAACAAGAAAAGAAAAGAUCAAAAUUCAACAAGUUUGUUAUGUUACAAUAGUAAUGUACAAAUCAACAAUCAAUAUUAUGAAGCUGAUGGAUCAUCAUGUUUUAGGUACUUAAUGGGAGAUCAUCAUCAAAACUUAUGAGAAAAUUAUGAAUUGAAACUAAAGCAAGGGUGCUGGUGAUGGUGCUGGCGAUGGUGGUGACGAUAAUUGAUGAUGUGUCACAACAAGUACAACAAGACAAUUUGUAAGUUUUUUUUUUCUUAAAAAAAAGAAUAAAGAUUGGUUUGACAUGAAGUUAUUUGUCUUGGGUUGCUAACUGUUUUAUGAAACAUAUAAUUGAUUUGAAGUUAACUUUGUCCUAGCUAGGAGGUUGAUCAAUUUGGCUACCUAAUUUUACUAUUUUUAUGAGAUGUUCUAUUUAUAUUUUGUAUUUAAAUUAAGUAAUGGAUUGAUGUGGUAAUUAUUCUCUUCAAUUUGCUAAUUUUCUUGAAGUGUUUUGAUUAUUUUUUGCAAUACAAUGUUAUCCUUUCUUAAUUUGGAGGUAUUUCACAUGUGAAAUUUGAAAUUUUAGGAGUCGAGUAGUGGUCUGUGGAUUAUUUAAUAUUGCAUUAUUUUAUAGGGCGUUGGGGAUCAGAAAUAGUUGGUGAUAAGAAUGUAUUUGAUAUAAAGAAAAAUAUUAAAUGAGAAAAAGAAAUACUCUUUUCGCUUAUAUUAUUCUUCAUUUUUCUAUUUGAAAUACAAGAUUUUGAAAUUUAGUGUGCUGGAUGGUAACAAAAUUUUUAUCUGAUAAAUAUAUUGCGGAAAAUAUUAUUCAUCUUAUCAAACAUGUUGUAAGGGUUUGAUUAUCUUUGCAAUACAAUGUUAUUCUUUCUUAAUUUGGAGGUGUUUCAUUUGUGGAAUUUGACAUUUUAAAAGUUCGAUUGGAUGUUGAAGAAGGGAAAUAAUAGGUGACUAAGGGUGUAUUUGAUAUGAAGAAAAAUAUUAAAUAGAGAAAUAUUUUCUAUUAUAUAGUUCUUCAAUAUUCUAUUUAAAAUAUAAAAUAUUGAAAUUUUAAAGCGUUGGAUGGUAACAAAGUUUUAAUUUGAAAAAUGUUUUCUAUUAAAUAUUUUUGGUCAUAUUGAACAUGUCCUAAGUUAGCCGUUUUUAGAAUAAUGUUUACUUUUUAUAAAUAGGGAGAUAUGUUAAAACAAGUAUAACCAUUAGCUCUUUGGUUGGUAAUAUUUCUUUUCAAUUAUGAACGUUUUUAUUAUUUAAAAGAUGAUCUAAUAUUAAAUUCGAAAGACGUGAUUUUCAGUAAGCAUCUAAAAAGAGUUGAGUUUGUCUCAUAAAACCACGUGAAUUCGGACUGUUUUCAACAUCGAAUAUAUAAAAAAAAAACAUUUUAGGAUAUUGUAGCAAAUGAUUUCGUUUUUGUAAAAAAAAAAAAUCUAUUUUAGUAAUUAAUUCAAAAAUAUAUUCUUUAAUCAACUUUUCAUUCAUAAAAAAGAUGAUGUGAUUAUAUUCCACUCAAGUAAUUUUACUAUACUUUUCUUAUUUUGUCUGCCAUUAACUGAUGCGAAUAGUAAAAUAACAGCUCAUAAAAGGAUAUUUAAAUGAAUUUUAUAACAUUUUAUGAUCCUCAAAUAAGCACUAUAUGAGUAAUCUAUUAUAAAUUUUGUACUUAGAGAAUUUUCAAGAUUAUAAUAAUAAUGUAGAUACAUAGAAUAUAGACACCAUCCUACAAAUGUUACAUUGUGGUACUUGAAGAAUAGCAUAGCCUUAAACACAAUGUGUAGGAAUAAUUUCAAAUUAUAUCUUAAACAUGAAGGACCUUAAUUUCUUUUAAUUAAAUUGAAAUCAUCAUUGUUGAAGGACAAUAUUUCAUUAAUAAAAUGAAAUUUUUGGCAGGCAAACUAAUCCACAUUCAUAACGUAGAUUACUGUUUAACUCAGUAGACCUGUCAUACUUGUCUUAUCUUGUCUGCCACUAACUAUUAAAACACGAUAUUUUAUCUUGAAAUAAGUUAUUCCCCCUCAAAAUUGCAUCUUAGGAUAACCCUCCACCCACCCCACCCCCACCCCCACCCCCAACAACCUUUUUAGUAGCUUAGCGCUAUGUAAGAUUUUAUUUCUCAAAUAAUGCACUAAAUAUAUGCAAUAACAAGAAUCAUUAAAAGUUUAAUUCUCAAAAUAUGCAGAAAAAUUGAGACUUUAAUGCAAUUAAUUAAUGAGCUCUCUGAACUUGUCUUGAUUAUAUAGCUCCAACCACUACCACUGGCAAAAACCAUUUGAAUUAAAUAAGACUUGAUUUUCAUUUUUUUUUCCUAUCAAUAUGCUAAAUCCCAAAGCCAAUUGUUAUAUAUUUGGAUCAACCAAAGGGAAGAAAAAAUUGUUAUUUAGGAAAAAGAUUAGUUAUAUAAAGCUUUUGUAAUUUAUUUCUUGUUUUUAUGUUCAAUUGUAAGUGAAUUGUUUAAAUUCUGCUUCCAUGAGCUUGAUCAGAUUGUUAAUUUCGAGUUUAAAUUAUAUAUAAAAAAAGACUUAUGACUUAUGAUAGAUUAUUUAUUUAGAAAUUCACUAUAUAUAUAUAUAUAUAUAUAAAAUAAACUGUGAAUCAAGUAACAUAAAUAGCUUGUGAGUGUGGUGAUAAAUUUUGAGACAUCAAAUUCACUAUAGAUAAAUAACAUGAUAUUUAUUAUAUUUAUGUAUAUAUAAUGAACAUUGAAUUUAUUUGAUCAAUAUGUUUAUUUCUUUUUAUUUUAAAUUCUUUAAGUGGUAAUUUUAAUCUUUUUUAUUGUUUGAUAGUUAAAAAAAUAUUUCACUAUGGUAUGUUAUGUGUUCUAUUAUAAUGUUAAAGAGUACUGAAACACUUGAAAUAGCAAAGGUGAUAUAUUGAUUUUUUUUCAGAAGUAUUCUCUAAAUAUUUCUUGUUUCGUAUAUUGUAUUAUUAUCUUUCAGUUCUCUCUAGUUUUUAAUUCCAACAUCAAUAUACUCGGUGUAUAUCAGCUUUUGGAAUUAAAAGAUAGCGUAUAUGUAAUUUGACCUCUAGCUACAUAGAUAUAGAUGUUACUUUCGAUAGACAAUCGAUUUAAAUAAAACAUAUCAAAACGAUAAAAAAAAAGAAUAUAAUAAUAUAAAAGUCAUGAUGAUAGAACUCUUAAAGAAAACUUAAGAUAAUGUUUAACAUAAGAUACAAAUCUAAAUAAUCUUUAAUUAAAAAUUAAAAAAAAAUUCUUAUUAUUCAAUAGUAACCCUUUUUUUUUCAGAAUUUAAAAAAGAAAAAAAAUAUAUUUUUUUAUAUAAAAAAAUAAUAAUAAUCUUGUGAUGUAUGAUGAGGGAAUUUGAUAUGACUAGUAACUGAGAUCACAAAGCUAUGUACUUGUUUGGUUUUCACUUCAAAUAUCCUAAUUUAGAAAAUCUGACCAUGUAUUUUACUUAAAAGUAUGUUCUCUUUAUAACUAAGAAUGGUAAUAACACAAAUUUUUUCAGACUUUAUUAUAUUUUCAGAGAUUGUUGGAAAAAUAAAUAUUAAUAUUAUUAGCAUAUUAUAUAUAUAUAUGCUUCAAUAAAUGUACUGUUCAACAACAAGUAACACAGGUUGAUGACGUUUUAUGACAUAAAAAGCUUUUUAAGUAAUUUUCUGAAAUUAUCAAAUGACAACUUAAUAAUUAGUUGACCAACCCUUCCAACAACUACAAUGCAUAAAUGUAAUUUCAAAAGUAUCGAGAGAAUAAAGUGUAUCGAGAGAAUAAAGUGUAUGUAAAUUAUAUAUUUAAUUCGUGAAGGUAGAUAGAUUCUUAAUUUUUAAGUUUGUCAAUUAAAAAUAGUUUGAUAUGAUGAUAUCGAUUAUUACAGACAUAGAUUAGUAAUUUUAAUGUUAUUCGGUACAGAUAUCAAGAGACAAGAAAUUAUAUGAAUAAAGCUAAAUACUAUGAGGUAUAGUAGAAUAUUAGUACGUAAUUGAGUAUUGUUUCACUUUUCAAUAGGAUUGAGCUUGGUGAUAAUCGGGAGUGCUAACAUCGUAUAUAUCAUAACUAAGAUCAUGUUUUCAGUAAAAAAAAAUUAAAAAUUUACCAACUUUCAGAACUUAUGUUAUGCAGCAUGGUUGGUAGCAUGGAAGUUAAUAAUUUUAAUAUAUAUUUGAUUAGUGAAUUAAAUAUAUUUUUUAAAAAUAUACAUACAUUAAAUACUAAUAUUAGUUAUACUAGCAAAUCAAAAAAAUGCUUUGAUGGAAUUUAGAGUAAGAAAGAUUAAUGAUGUUGAUUAAGUAUUACUUAGAGAAAGUAUAUAUAUAUAUAUAUAUAUAUAUAUAUACAUAUUCUAAUGAAAUUAAAUUUCACUCAAAAAAUGAUUUUAUUAAUAAUACACUUAACUAUAUUUAUCAUCGUAUUGAUAUAAGAAAAGUUGUAACUAAAAUAUUUUGUGUGUACUUCUAAAUCUCGUGUAAGAUCUUCGAAAGGCCAAUAUAUGUUUAUUAACCAUAUAUGUUUUUUAGUUUCGAAAAAUUAUUUUUCAAACUUUAGCUCCUAAAAUAGAUACACUUUAUUAUAAAUUAGUGAAACAACAUAUUUGAAACAUAUUAAAUAAUUAAGAACUCAAUUUUUCUGGAUAUUACGGGUUUUAAAUCAUUCGAUUAUCUAAUUUGCAAAAUAUGUAUAACGCGUAUACCUAAUGUAUAAGUUAUAUAAGUGUAUAUAUUGUGUAUAUUUCGAACAUGUUGAUAAACUAAUGACGCGAACGAUAUACAUUGCUGAAGUUCCUGUAAAUUAGAACUUCACAUGGAUUUGGGCUUUACCCAUUCUUCCUCUUGUAUAAGGCUGUUGGGCCUGUGUUAAACAAAUGGAUUUACUAUAUAUGGGCUUUGUUACUUUAAGUUUAAAUAUGGGCCUUGUAUAAAUAGCAGCCCAAUCAAGCCCCCGAUAAUUUAAGAAAAAAAGAGGAUCUAUCUCUUUUUCGUACCAAUCCUUAUUUACUAUACAUCACAAUACGUAAACCUACGUCGCACUUCACUUCACUAUGAAUGUUGAAUAUUGAUUGACGUGAUAUUGUUUGUUUUGAAAUUCGAUAGGUUUAUCAUAAACGAUCUGGUAAUCGAUACUCGGUAUUUGUUACGACUAAUGUGAUUAUUCUUAAUUUAAAAUUCAACUAUAACCCUCGUAAUUCCUUAUCUCGUUAAAAUUUAAACUUGAAAACUCAUAAUUUCGGCGAUCUUGUGCGACAAACCAAGAACACCAACCCAAAAGAGAAAACGAAAAGAAAAACUUAGAAAAGAAUUUAAACUUUACACCUAACCCCACAAAUAUCACAUGAUAGAUAAGUUGGUAAAAUGUAUGCAAACAAACAACCCCACAUGUAGAAAACUACAUUUCACAUUAAAAAAUUGGGACCAAUGAAUCAAGAAUCAUAUAAAGUACACACCAUAAGUUUAAAAAACCCAAAAGAUAAUAUUCCAUUUAAUAAAUCAUAUCCCAAAAACUGUUACAUGAAGAUUGUCACAAAGCCAAUAUUGUUUACUCAUAAGUUUUUUAUUAAACGAAAAAUUAUAGAAAAAAAAAAAAAGAAGCCUUACACAUUAUGUCCACAUAUAAGACAUUUUUGUAAAACCAUAUCGUCACAUUCUCAUUUUCAAAGAGAAAACAUAAAACUAAAAACUUUGUUGAUCUUAGUACUUGUAGUCCUUAACAUGAAGGCUCUCGGACGCGCCCUCGCUCAAGUUAGAAGCUCCGACGUACUUUCCGAGUGUAGCCUCGGAGUUGGCCUUGCACCUGGUGAGGAAUGCAGCUUGUGCUUUCUGAACAUUCUCUUCUUUUCCUCCCCAUGCCUUGAGGGUACUCUGCUGAAGAGCACGUCCGAAGGAAAAGGAAAGCGACCAUGGCUUCUUGGUUUGAAGCUUGUUCAUGGCGUUGAGGUUGACGGUGGCUUCCUCUUCACUCUGACCACCAGACAGGAACACCACAGCGGGAACAGCGGGUGGCAUUGUGCGUUGCAAAGCACGGACGGUGUACUCAGCGAUCACUUCUGGUGCAACCUUGGGAGAUUCAGAACCAGGAGUGACCAUGUUAGGCUUCAACAAGGUACCUUCAAGGAGGACAUGGUGGUCAUUGAGAGCCUUGUAGCAAGCAGCAAGAACGCGCUCGGUAACAUCAGCGCACUUUUUAAUGUCAUGGGCUCCAUCGACAAGGAUCUCGGGCUCAACAAUGGGUACAAGACCAUUCUGCUGGCAAAUAAUGGCGUAUCUGGCAAGGCCAUUGGCGUUAUCAUUGAUGGCGAGCUGAGAUGGCUCAUUGGCACCAAUCUUCAACACAGCACGCCAUUUGGCGAACCUAGCACCAGCCUCGUAGUACUUCUGGCAACGUUCUGCGAGACCAUCAAGACCUUGAGUGGUGGUCUCACCAUCGGUCCCGGGGAGUUCAACGGUACCCUUGUCAACCUUAAUACCAGGAAGGACUCCAGCUUCCUUCAUGACUUCAACGAAAGGCUUGCCUGCCACCAAUAUCAGAUCAUCAAUGUAAUGCUACUACUACUACUACUAAUCCUACACUUUCUGUCAUAAACGUAAACGAGAUCGAGCCUACACUUAAAUUCAACAAUCAAAUAAAACAAUAAUCAAUGCUAACAAAUCAAUUUCUUCAAAACAUACCAGCAGCAGUCUUCUGGUAAAGUGUCUCCUCAAACAAGAUCACACCGCUAAGGUACUGAAGACAACCAGGGGUGCAAAAGAGAAGCUCACGGAGAGCCCUCCUGUUUGAUUCUACAUUCUCGACAUUGAUGCUCGAGAGACGCUUUCCAAUGGUUCCAGUAGAUUCAUCAGCAGCAAGGAUACCCUUUCCAGGGGUACCAAUGUAUGUAGCAUUCUUAAUAAGCUCAUCUACAGAUAAUCAACCAUUAAUUACCUCUUAUCAAUCACAAAUCACUUCAUUUUUAAUGGAUUCUCCAAAAAUACACUAUCUUUAUGGAUAUAAAUCUAACAAGCAUGUAGCAACAUAAACUAAAACAUAAAUCAACAGAUUCAAUCAAGAACAGUGUAGACAACCAAAUCCUAACCCUAAUCCUAAUUUUCAUGGACAAUUAGUACCAUUUGUUAAAAAGAUUUGAACUUUAAGAUCUAUAAACUAUACACAAAUUAAACUAAAACAGGAAUUAACAUGCUACAACAAACUAUCACAAGUUUCAAUCAGAUCCAGACUAAACAUACAACAAAAAUUAUAUAUUAAAAAAAAAUCAACAACUAUAUUAUGAUUAAUAAUUAAGCAAAUAACAAUCAUAAAGAUAAAAACAAACACAAAGAUCUAUAAGUGGGACCAUGAAAGGGAACCUUCAAACACAAAGAUCAAAACUUUUUUUUUUCUUCAAGAAAGUUGUAGUCUUUACAUCAAAACAAAAAAUAAAAAAUACCCAACAACCAAGAUCCAAAAACAACACAACCCCAGAUGACAAAACAACAAGAUCUAUCAAAAAAAUCAAAUCUUGGAUCAAAAAAUCAAGAUUCGAACAAAGUAAAAGUACUUACCAGCAUACUUUCCCUUGUAGCAAGACAUGAUUAAUAAGCUUAGAUUUGAAGAAAGUGAGAGAAGUUUAUAGAGAGAAUGAGAAAAAUGGAAGAGAAAGUUAGGCUUUUAUAAUACGGCAUAUAAGGAGUUGGUGGGGGGCUGCAAUAUCAUCGAUGUUAUCGACCCCUUGUGCACGCAACCAGCGGUUUUAUGUCAUUUGACCAUUUUACCCUCACGUAUUUUUUUUCUCGAUUUUUCACUCGGUGUUCGAUACACGUUUUUUGAGAUGGAUUGGAUUCGAUACGUGUCUAGAAAGCUUCGUUAUAGAGUGAAAUGUUUUAUACGGGAGUGAAAAGUCGACUCUAUUUUCAAAGCUCGAGAUUGUUUCUUCAUAUUAAAAAUAAAGGGACAUUUAUUAUCGACAAACGUUUUUAUCCUCGCACAUUUUUUUCUCAUUCUUCAUUUGGCUUUUGAUAUAUUUAGAAAUGGAUUGAUUUAAAUAUGUAUCUAAACAACUUUAUUUUAGAGGUGAAAUAUUUUCUAUUAAAAUCGACUCUAUUUCCUUUCGACUAAGGAUUAAGAGACACUUAUAACUUAUAAAUAAAUACAUAUAUCUAAAUUGUGUUUUGUAACCAACUUAAUAAGUAAAAAUGAGAUAUCUUGACGAUCCUUAAAUUUGAUUGAAUACUGAUUAAAAGUAUUUGUAUUAACCAUUUUCAACUCAAAUUUUGAAGAAAAAAAUUCAUAAAGUCGAUUAGUUAUUUAAAUUUUCAAUUUAUUAUGAUAUUUUUUUAAUUGAGAGUUUGAUUUUUUACCUUAUAAUUUCUUCUAUCUUCUAAUUUUCUCUGCCCUUGUGUCAUUAAAAAAAUGAUUUCCCACUUGUUUUUUUAUAUUUAUAUUGGAGUUCGAUUAAAUUUAAAAUCAUAUUGAAAAGUUUCACAAUUAGAUAAAACGCUCCUUGACAAAGACAAUUUUAUAUUUAAGAAGAUUUGAACAUGAGAUUUGUUGAUUAACGAUAAAGAAGUACUUAUUACUCUAUCACGAUAAGGCGAACUGAGGAAUUAAUGACAAAGUUAAGGGUAGUAUUACCUAAAAUUUUAUUUUAUUCAAAUAUUUAAACAAUUAAGAGGGGGAAAAGGAAAUCAAAACAAUGGGUAGGAGACAAAUGGGUGGUGUUAUUGAGUGAAAACAACUUAAAAAGCCCACAAAAAUCAUGUGAGGAGAAGAGCAAAUUUUGCCAUAAAAUUAGUCUUUUUUUUGUGUGUAGUAAAACUAGAAAAAGAGGAGUUAAUGGUAAGUAGAAACCAAGUGCUUAGGUCCCUUGUUUUCUCUUUUAACUUUAUGGUCUAGUCAAGUGUCAAAAUCUUCACUCAUCUAAUUAGGAAAUAGAUAAAAAAAUAUUUUUUUAAAAAAAAUUGUUUUCUGAUAUUUGAUAAGUAAUAAAAAAUAUUAUCUAAAAAGAAUUAUGUAUAUGUAAUUUUAACAAAAUACUAUGUGGGAUGAAAUGGUAUGGUGAGUAAAAGUUUGAGGGUGGAAUGGUCAAGAAAUGGAAAAUUAAGUGUUAUUAAUGAAGUUUUUUUCUACUUUUAUUAGAGAGAUUAUUUUUUUUCUUAUUUUAACGAAUUUGUUUUUUCAAAGAAAAUGUUUUUCACUAAUAUAUUAAUCAAUUAAAAAUGAGAAAAUUAAACACACCUUAAAUCAACAUUGAUUCUGUAAAAUUGUAAGUCUUUUGAGACAACUCAUUAUAUGUGAUUUUAGUUCAAUUUUGUUCUCUUUCAAUACAUUCACCAUAAGUUUACAUAUACAUAUCGAAUAAUUUUAUAAAUCAAAUGCAAAAUAUCACUCAACCAUCAUAAUCGAUCCUCAAUUUAAAUCUUUUAGUGAAUAUGGUCAAUUUCAAUACUUCUAUAUUAUAUGGUCAUAAAACCAUUUUAAUAUUUCAAAAUUUUGCAAACACUCAUGUUGUGUAUGUAUAUAAGAUUUUCCCAUCCAAAAUUCAUAAACAUCAUAUAAUUUCGUAUUAUAAUUAUUUUUUGAACUUACUUUUCACUUUAACAGAUAUUAUUAUGUCAUAUAACACUCCAUUAAUUUUUCUCCACUUCAACUAAAUUAACCAACUAGUUAAUAGUCAUAUAUAUUAAUAUAACUCUAUUUUGUAUACUUUUUCAUUAGCAUCAUCAAUCAUAAAUCAUGCUUAGCAUUAAAAAAGAAACUAAAUCAACAUUAGAAAAUAAAAGAGAAUAUGUAUCUUGUAUUUUAAAUUUUUAAUUACAUAACUCAUCUUUGUGAAUUAGGUAUAAAGUUAAUAAGUCUUAAUCAAGAUGAUGACAUGAUGUGCACCAACAAGAAUAAAGUGAAACAAAUAAUACUAAACCUUUAAUUUUCUAAAUACAAUAACAUACUCAAUUAAGAAAAAAAAAUUAUUUAAUAGCCCUUCAUGCCUUAUUUCUCACCAACCAAGACAAAUAUAUAAAUAAUAAUUUUUUAAAAAAAAAAAAAAGAAAAGGGAAAAGACCGUUAGAGGAGGGGACCAAAGUACAAAGAAAAAAAAAAGAAGAUACCAUUUCAAAAUAGCAUAUUCCAUAUAAUUUUGUAAUUAAGAUUCGAACAGAUUAAGAUAUAGCAAAUUAGAGAGGUUAUUUCCUAUAAACUUCGUUUCGAAAGAGCUCGUAAAAUGAGAAUAAGUGCGCAUGUAUAUAUAUAUAUGAUUGCUCAUCUUCAUAAGUUUAGACUUUAAACGAUAUCCAAUUAUUUUGACUUUAUACGAUAUAUACGAUUAUCUUUUUAAUAACCAUUAAUUAUAAUAAAAUAAAUUAUACUAUUCUUAUAAUAUAAGGCCAACAAUUGACUCUUUUUCUUUUAAAUUUAUUUAUAAUGAAAGGCAGAGAGCAUGUUGGAUCUUGAAACUUAAUGCUUUGUCAUUCUCCAUGUUUCUACAUAUGGAGCUACUAAUCACUUUAAUUUAUUUAUUUCAUUAUAAAAAAUAAUAAUUGAAGUUAGUAACAAAGUCAGAAGAUGCAUCAAAUAAUAAUAAAUAGUUUAUGAUAAGUCCAAUUGAUGAUUGAUAAGUGAGUUUUAAUAUUUUAUUUUUAAAAAACAAGAAUGAAUAGUGACAACACCUACACCUCUUCCUAAUUAACAUUUCAUAAGUUUUAAGGGACAACAUUCACUAAUAUGGUUAAUAAUAUUUAAAAUAAAGUUUAUUAUUUUAAUUAUCUUGUAUUGGUCUUCCAUUGUUGAAAAUAUGCUUCAUCCUUUUAAUAGAUCUAACAGAAGUGAAUUCAAAUUAAUCGACCCAUUGAUAAAGACAGAUUCACACAUUUGACAUUUGAAUUCGUUAAACUUUUAAAUGCAUGAAUCGUAUCUACUUUAGUAUUGAUUGCAAGUUUUAGCUACGCCAUGAAAACAUAGAUUUCAAAUAAACCCACGACUACAAUAUCAGGUCUUAACACUUUGAUUUUGCCUCAAUUAAUCUUAAAGGUCUUGAGUUCAAGCAUUUGAAAAUAAAUCGCGCUUUUAUAGAGGGAACUUAAGAUUUUGUUUAGGUGUCCUAGGCGUUGAUCUCAACAUGUAAAAGCAUAGGUUUUGUUGAUUAAUCCUACAAGUUGGCAUUGAUUUGUAAUUAGGAUAUGAUAUCUACAAGGCAAUAUUCAAAUGCCAAGGACCUUGAUAGAUGGAUAUCGUGUGAGUCAAUGAUUCACGUAUCAAACAUUAAACUGAUAAAAAUAGAUACUACUACACGUUGAUCUUAGCAAAAAGACCGAGAAAGGUAUAUUUUCGUCUCCAGAAAUGUUCUAUAUCAACUUCAAACAUUAAAAAAUUUGUAAUUUUCGACUCUCGAAUUUCGAAACAAGUGAAUCAAAAUAAUGACAGUAGCCUUCAAAGCAAUUACUUCAAACUGUAGUUACCUAUCAAAAAACAAAAGUUUUUGCUCAGUUCAACUGAAAACUCAACAGGGAGAGAUCUCUUAGGGAAGAAAAAAUGAUCAUUAUCAAACGAUAGCACCCAAAUAGUCUUUGCUCGGACCUUCCAAAAAUGUUGCUACCCACGGAGGUCCUCGAAAAGAUACAUAGCUUGUGGAGGAUUCGAAUCCGAUACACAUCAGUUGGUAUCUUUGAAGAGCCCAAGCAUAUGUCUCAACUGUUCCACUCCACAUCAAAUUCCACUGCAAGAUUAAUCGGAUCCGAGUUAAUUUUCUUUGAUGAAACUGCAGGACAUGCAUCACAAGGUUUAUUUCCGAAAACUAUCUUAUCUACAAUCGAAAAUUAAGUGGCUUGGGGAUGAAUUAUGAUAACUCAACCCCAAAAGCUAGCUUGAAAGGAGAGAACUGUCCGAGUUUAUAUAACUAUAAGUAAUCACAAAUCAUUACCAACCAAAGUGGAACUCUACCCCGCUUAAAUACCCACACACCCAGACUGCCAACUAGAAUGUGGGCACUAUAAUAGGAACUAUUAUAGGCAUGAUAUAGUCCUACCGUCAACUCAACCACAAAAACUAGGUCGGGGGUGGGGAUGGGGUGGGGAAUUGUUAAAGUUCAUAUAAGGAGACUUAGCUCAUUUUCACACCAAUGUCGGACUCUGAUACCUCCGGCACACCCAGACUGCCAAGAGUAUAUGGGGGCCAAAACAGGACGAACUAGACUCCGAUACACUCAACUCCAAAGGUUAUCUUAAAAAGAGAAAUUGCCCAAGUCCGUGUUAGGAGACCACCAACCCAACCAAUUCAGGACUAACCCACUCUAACAGGGCUAAAUAAAGAACCACUACCCAUUCUGAAAUCCAACUUAUUUCAAAUUUUCAUCUAAUUCUCUCCUUUCAUUUUUAGUUGUUUUGAACUAUGAAAGGAAAAAGAGGCUGUUUAUAUCUUGAAAUGAGAGGAAACAACUUGCAGUCUAUUUAUUUAUUUGUUUUCAGUAUAGUGAUCAAUGAGGUCUAAGGUACUAAUCCCAGCAAAGGCAAAAAUACGAGGUGAUUUCUUCCAACUUGUCCAAGCUUUGGACAAAGUUAUCAGCAUCUAUAUCCUGUGAAAAUAGUCUAGGUGCACGAAAAAUAACCUAGACACCACAGUAUCAAUAAAAAAAAUUGAGGUCUUAAAUGAGGUCAAACGUUAUUAACCACCAACCCAACAAUCCCUAUUAACUGAAGGACCUAACAAGAGUGUUCGAUGCUUUACCUUUUGUUAAGUAUCAAAAUCUCUGCAGGUUAUCAUACUCUUCCUUCCUCCUAAUUUAUAUGACGUUCUUUUCAUUUCAAGUCAUCCCAAAUAUGCCUUGUUAAAAUACAUUUCCAAAAUAUACCACACCAUCCUACUAAUAAUAUAAUUGUAUACAACCUCCACAACUUUCAAGACUUCAAAAUUACCUUAUCAAAAAAGGUAACAAAAGUUUCAAGGUUUCAAAUUCACACGAGUAGAACAAAUUCGAAAGUCACUACGAUGGGCUUUUUUUUUGCUAAACUAACUUUUAGAUAUUACUACCUUCUUCCUUUGCCAUAGAUGAUAUAUAUAUUAUAGACAACAAUUAUAUUGAGCCUCAUGCCAAAUCAAACACUAUUACCAAGGGAGAAUCAGUCUUAUCAAACUCGAAAAAAUGCAAAAAAAAUCUCUAAGGUCCACUAUAGUUUUAAGUGCGAAUGAAGUGUUGACUUUAAUAAAGAAGCGUGCAAAUGAAGAACAAAAUACAAAUAUGUAUGGGUAAUCCAAGACAAAUAAUUAUAAGCAUGAAUAACAAUAUAUGGACAAAGAAAUUAGAAUUUUUUUUUGUGAAAAAAGGGAAAUAUCAGUUUUUGACCUCUCAUGGACACUACCUUUGACUAUAAGGGUAGGAGUUGAAAACCUGAAUUCUUGGAGAUAAAACAAAGUACCAAGAACAUCUGGAAAAUGAUCCCUAGCUGUAUUUUUCGGUGUGUUUGGAUAGAAAGGAAUAGAAGAUGUUUUGAAGGGAUUUCGACAAAGUUUUGGUUUUAUCACCAUCCCGUAAUAGAUUCACAUAAUAUGAAAACACCAAAUAAACGUGAAUACACGUCACAAAUAGACUCAUAAAAACAAUCAACAAACUUAACAAUUUAAUUUUCAUUUAUCUUUAGAUACAAUCCAACAUUAUUACUUAGCAAUUGUAGCAGAAUAAAUAAGAAGAAAAUUUUUGUUGGGAUUCAUGGUAAUCGCAUCAUAGAUUCACAUAAUAUUAGAACACUAAAUAAACGUGACAAUACACAUGGCAAAUAGACUCAUAAUGUGAAAACAACAAUACGUGUGACAAAUAGACUUGCUCAGGUUUAUUCAGCCAAAACAUCUUAUUUUCUUCUUUAAUUAUUUUAUUUUUUUUGCAAUGGAUACAGAGGAUUGGGAAGGGUAGGCAAAAGAUUAAUAUGAAAUUGAUUGAGUCAAAGGAAGCACGCACUGUUACUUUCUCGUAAGGAAAAAAGGCUUGAUCAAGAAAGCAAAUACUAUUCAACUCUGACCGGAGCAGAUGUGGGUGUUUUACUCUUUUCACCAAGUGAAAAAUCAUAUUCCUAUGGCUCCACAAGUAUAGAAUAUAUUUCUUGAAUAGAUACUAGACGAUCUCUAACAUGAUCAUACUGAUGUAGGCAAAUCAAAUGUCUUUGAGGCACUCAAAUAUACUGUCAGUCAAACUUACGUUGGACCAGUUCAUGGCAAUCUAGUCGUGGUUGGACAAAGUUAAAAAGGGAAAAAAAGUAAAUGUAUCCCUAAACCAGAAGAGGAGGAGACUUCUUAAUUAAUAAUUAUCAUGGAGGUGGUAUUGGAGUUGUGUUUGGAGGAAACUUACCAGCUAUCAGUCUUUUAAUAUGGUCAAGUCUUGUAUUUGUUAGUAAGUCAAUUGCUGUUAGUUUUCAGUCCUCCAUUUAUCUGAGCCCUCUUUUGUUUUUUAUUAGCUCCCUAUGCUUCAAGGUCUGUUGUUGUAAGAACUAACGUAUCUUUUGUAACUUUGCAUCUUCUUGAUGCCAGCUAUACAAAAUCUAUCUUCAUAAAAAAAUAAAAAAAGAUAAAAGGCUCAUUAGCCAGGAAAGUUAAGUCUUAGAGCCUUGAUGACAACAUUAAAGUGCACACUAAGCGAGACGAAACACUCAAUAUGUUUUGCAACUCGAUUUAGGGCUUAAGCGCACCUUUGACAACACUAGGAGUAACGCACCCACCCCUCCAAGAAGGUAUAGUUUAGGACAAGCAACAGUCUCGAGUAAUUUCUUCAAAUGAAUGACUAGAAAUAAACUAAUUUACAGACAUUUUUGUCCAUUGAUACUUAAACAAAGUCAAUGAGAAUUUAUUGAUUUUCUCUUCACUCUCAAUGUAAAAUGUAUAUGUCUAGUUCAUACUAUGGUAAAUACCACAAGAACACAAUUCUAUAAGGAGUUGCUUAAAAUUUCCCCACUCUAGCUGAAGUUUAUGGCACAAAUAUGUAGGAGAUUCGGUAAAUUCCAAAGAUGUACAUCUAAUUCAACUUAUAGAAAUCAUUCACAUAAAUGGCAUCUUAUGUGACUUCAAGCUCUAAUACAUUUAAGAAGUUGUAGUCCCAAAUAGUUUUUGUCAAUUCAGAGAGAAUAAAUGGCUUACAGAACUCCUCAACUGAAAUGCCUUUUGAGGCAUAGCUAGACAAACUAGUAUGGGAAAAUGAAAGUGAAUUAGGAAAAGAUUGUGUUCACAACAACUGUAUCUUCCGAAUGGACCAAUUAUAAAGUUAUCCCCUCUAUACACCUUCAAGUUCACUCUUUUUAAUCAAAUCAAGCAAUUAAGCUUCACUUACUGAAGUUCCACGCCAAUGUGACAACAAAUGAACACACCUCCAAACAGCUUUAAUAAGAGGGAUACAUUUAGGAGCUUUUUUUAACUUUUGGCAACUGAGAUAGCCCCGAGAGCCAGUUAGGGCACGGUUCAAAACUCGGUCAUGGAUCAGUUUUGGAACUUCUGAUGAUAAAUUUAUAAGUGGGAGCAAAUGAAGCAUGGCAAGUACAAUAAGUUAUGUAGUAUACAAAGAUAUGAUAACUUACAAAAGGACUCACUGGUACAAAUAUCCAUCUCAAGCAGAAGUAUAUAUUUAGUAUUUGUUACAAUUCAUCUCUUUGAAUAUAUUGACAUAAGCUUAUCAUUGGUCCAAAUGCCAAUUAGACGUGCAAAGACUCGUAAAGAAAUUAAAAUAUUGGGGAUACCCAUUGUCAGGAAAAUCUCUCAAAUCACACAAUGCUUUUGCUAUCUAACAGAUACAAUCAUUGAAGAACAUACAGAGCUAUGCCGUUAUGUAGUGUCAAAAUUCAAUGACAUAUUAAUCACAAGCAACCUACCUUGAAAAAAAACUAACCUCUUCCGUCCAUAGUGCACACAUAAUCCAAGUAAUUCAACAUCUAUGACAAAGUAUAUUGAGACAGCCUAGAAGCCAUAUGAGAAACUUGAGCCUGCAUCUGAACAGCCUUAACCUUUGACGCCGUGGCACGAUGAAUGAAUUGUUCACGCGACAACAACCUUACAUUCCUCAAGUACUGAUCAAAAGGAAUUGCCCCAUCUUGUAUAGCUUUAUCCAACGAAUAAAUCACAUCCUCCAUAGCUAAAUCCGAGGCUGUACAAUCCAACAUCUGUUUCGAAAGUCUAUCACAAAGCUCAAACGCCUCGUCCACAUCCACAUUCCCUAUUUUCUUAACUUUCGUUUCGUUAUCUCUAACCCACCCUUCCAACACAUCAGCAUUCAUCAAAACCAUCAGUAAUUGCUGCUCUAACCCCUCCUUUUCAUCCAGCAUUUCCUUAACACCUUUCCUCAACUCCUCCUCACGACGCCUCAACACUCCUUGUGCAUUAAACAACCCUUCCAUAUCCGACUCCCUCGCCUUCCCCAACCCUUCAAUAUCACUAUGCAAUUUCAGCAUAAGCUCAUCUAUUGCAUUUUUCUUAUCCACCUCCGACGGAUCAUCCAUUUUCCUCCCCACUACCCCACCACUCCCACUCCCAUAAGGUGAUGGUGGAUACACCCGAGGUGGUAUCGCAGGACGAGUCGACCCACUAUUCGAAAAACUAGUACCCGGAGGAGGAUGCGGGUUUGGGCUCGGAUUCGGGUUCCGUUUGGUGUACAAAGGGGGAUCACGGCUAAAAAAAUGACUCAAAUUACGAGCUAAUUCAACAAGAUUCGAACUUGGAUAUACCCAAUUUUUUAAAUAAGGGAUUGAAACAAUACCAGAAGAGUUCACAAAUGGAUGUGAGUCUUUGAUGACCAUAUUACGCGUUGGGUUCACGAAUACCAACGGCGAUUGACGAGGGUAAGAUUCCAGUAACCAAAUAAUGACCGGAAUGUUGUAGGUUGCAUCUAGAUAGACCAUCGGAACUGUGCCGUUCGCCUGAAGGAGAUUCACAGUUCUGCCGUCGUUGUAAGUGAAAGUAGCGGUUCUAGGUUGAAGAGAAGGACACGUGUCGAUCAACGAAACGAGGUGUUGACGGAUUAGCCAUUUUACGUCUUCGGAGUAAGGGAGAGAAGAAGGACCUCGUUGGGAGAGAACAUUGCUUAAGAAUUGUUGAGUGUAUUGGGGAGAUGACGGAGAAUGAAUCGCCGCCGCCGGCGUUGGUGGUGUCAUUGUGAUCAGAGGAGAAAACGCCGUCGGAUUUGGUAAGCUCCGGCGAAUUUGAAGUUGAUUUUAAGGGUUCGAUUUUUUAAAUAAGAUCUGGAGUUAGUUUUUAUUAAAGCUAUAGUUUUUAUUAAAGUUAUAGUUUUUAUUAAAGCUAACUCUAUAACUUUAUAUUUGAAAAUUUGUGAAGCAAGCGUAAUUUAAAAGUGUAUUAAUAUCAGAUUUUGCUAUUUACAGUUCACCUAGAAGACACCAUUUCAAUUUAUUCGAGUUAAAUUACAGUCAUCAUGUUCUAAUAAAGAAGAAACAAAGUUCACCAAGAAGACACGAUCGAUUUGUUCAAACUGAAUAACAUUUAUCAUUUCUAAUAAAGAAGAAGCAAGUGAGAAAGUAUGAAGUUUUUCAAUACUCGCUACAUUAUAAAUUCAAGGACUGUUUAGUAGUUGUUUUGAAGAUUAAUUAUGCAGAUAUUACAUAUAUAACUAAAUAAUAUCAAUGUUUAAUAGUUAGUUAUGGAAGAACAUAACUAAUGUUACAUGUUUAAGAAAAUCUAUGUAUUAUUUAUGCACAAUUAAUUCUCGUCGUAAAAUGACAUAUGAAUUUUCCUAUAGCUAAUCGAGCAUAUAAUUAAUACUUGCAUAAUCAUAAUUAACUAAUCAAGCAUACAAUUAAUACCUGCAUAAUUAUAAUCAAAACUAAACUAACUUGUUAGUUUUUAAAAUGGAUAGAAUGUAAAUAGAGGUGCCUAAGUUGACUAUCCAGUGUAAAUUCAUACCUAGAAAAUGCAACUCAAAUACUUGGGCUGUUAAAGUUGAAUUUUUAGCCCAAUUAAGAUGACCCAAUUUAUUUUUUUUUUAUUUUUUUUGUAUUUCUCUUGUUUAGUAACUUGUAUUGUACAAAAUAUUUCAAUCUAUUUCAACUCAUACUAUGCAUUUUAUAGGGAUUACCUCAUUCAAUCCUCUUCCAACUAUAUGUUGUUAUAUGUUCACUUUCAAGUAUUUUUGUUUAAUUUUAUAAAAGAAAGAUGGAUAAAAGCGGAAAGCAUUGGAGAAAUAAUAAAUUUUACGGGCACAAUUUGUUUGACAAAAGACACAAAUCAACUUUAUUGACUUCACCUAUCGUCGUUAUCUCUACAUCUAUAACUGGAUAACACAUAGCAUAUCAUUAACCCUCCCUUGCCCACAUGUUAGCCAGAGAAAGAAUCACCACAUGCACUGUUUAAUCAGUAAAUGUUUAAUUAGUUUUUUUUGUUGAUUUGUAUCAUGCUUACUUUUUAUAGUUCUUAUUCAUAUUUCUCGUUUUUAUCUUUGUGAAUUUUUGAAAUCCUUUUUUUUUUAACAUACGAAAUAUAAGAAAUUAAGUCAUUAGAUCUUAUUUUCCUGUUUUUGAUUUUUAUAAUAACGUUUUAAAUAACAUGAAACUAAAGAUAUAAUUCAAUUUCGCGAAUAAGCGAUUCAACUUUUUGCAAUCUUAAUUUAACAAAAAAAAAAUAUUUUCUAUCUUAAAGCAUCUAUUGGAGCGCUAAUUAAAUUUGAAUUGCGCGAUAUAAAAUUUAUGUAUGAGUUGAUUUAUGGGUCGGAUUAGGUGUUUAUGAGUCCGAAUAUCUUUUCAUUUUCAUAUAAAUGUUAUGUGGUAAGGUCAAAAUGAUAUGACAAUUUCAUGUGGCAUUUAAGAAAAAUGAAAAAUGAGUUGGAUAUGUCCAACAUGGCAACUAACGCCCAUAAGGACAUAUUUGGACCAAAAGUUGGACGGCGAGGGCAUGAGUGAACUUAACUUUAAACGAAGGGUAUAUCUAGACCUUUUCAAAUAGUUUAGGGGCAUAUUUGACUUUUUUCCCAAUGAAAAAUGAGUUGGAUAUGUCCAACCUGACAAUUAAUGCCCAUAAGGGCAUAUUUGGAUAAAAAAUUGAACGACGAGGCAUGAGUGAACCAAAUAUUAAACGGAAUGUAUAUCUAGAUCUUUUCAAAUAUAUUUGACCCUUUUUCCUUCUGAUAAAAUAUAUGGAGAUGCAAGGUAACUUAACAAAAUUUAAAACUAUAAAGAAAACUUUUUGAUUUUAUGAUAUUAAAUUAAGUUAAUGAUUUAUGUCAAACUAGUUUAAAAAGUAUAUAUUAGUACGGAUCAAUAUAUAUUAUUUUAUUUAUUUUAAUUUACUUAACAAAUUUUUAUGCGAGUUUUAAAUUUAAAUACUUUAAGAUGUUUAUUCUUAUAGUACUUCAUAAUACUUUUUUAAAAAAAAGUAUAUUUUUUUCGUUAUUAUUUAUAUGACAAAUAUAAAAUUUUGAGCAUUAAAUGAAUUGGUAAUUUAUUUUAAAAAAUAUUUAAGUUGUGUAUCUAAUUUAUAAUAGUUCGAAAGUAAUUUUCAAGUGAUGUAUAUUUUGCCUCUGCCUCAAUAUAUCAAAACUUAUCUUAUAAUAUGGUAACAAAAUAAGAGUUGCUAAAUCUAGGAUUACGCAACCAGUGGUUAAGUUAACAUGAAAUUAAAUUCAACUCCUCACCUGCAAGUUAAAUAAUUUAAAACAAUAUUUAAAAAUGCAACCAAUAAGAUAAGAACAAACAAAAAUUUAUAUAUAUAUACAGAACUAAAUUCAUAUGUAACACUAUUUGAUUGUAUAAAUAUUUAUAUAUAAUUUAUAUAAUUUUUAAAGCUUUUGAGUUCAGGGCUUCAUCUGAAUCGUCUUUGAUGGAAAGAUAUAUUAUUUAUGUAUUGUUAAAAUAAACUUUUUAUGUAUAUAGUAGAUGUAGAACCUCUUUUGGCUUGUUUGUGUGUCCACUCUUCAGAUUUUGAACUCCUUUAAUAAAAAUUCUUAUUCCGCCGCUGAUUACUAUGCAUCAUUUUAUUCUUUAAUUCUUUACUAUUGUCGUUAUUUUUACUUUGGUUAUCUUUCCUUGUUACUACUUACGCAUCUUCAAAUUUUCAUCAUAGAAUUUUCGUUGUCACUAUCUUUUUUUAUUUUUUUUAUCAAACUAGUCUCAAUAAUUAUUUUCUUAAACUAAAGGUCGAAUCGAGAACAAUCUCUAUACUACAUCAAUUAAAAUAAGAUUUACUUAAAUUUAUCUUUCUCCAAAUUCCAUUUAUAAAAUUAUACCGAUUACGUUAUCAUUUUCGUAUAUAUAGUUUAGGGAAAUUUUACACAAGAGACAAAUGAAGCCCAUGUUAUCCACUUUUAAGGUUCACAAUAAAGAAUCUUUUUAGCCCAUCCUAUGCCAUAUGCUGUUAAUUUUGUACCUUCUUUUUAUAUUAGGAAAGUCUACCUCAUAUCUUUCUGCAAUAAAUUCUCUUUAAACCCUUUCUGACACAAGAAUUUUCCAAGAAACUACUCAAACUAAAAUUUAAAAAAAAAUAAAUUAUUAUAUACAAUUUUAUGUUAUAUUUUCUUAAUAAAAAAUUAAUUUCGUUCUAAAAUCCGUAACCUCUUAAUUAAAUUACAAUUAACACCUAAAUAAUAGUCAUAAUAGCCAUCAACAUUUUAAAUAUUGCUUGAAAUCAUUAGAAAUAUAUAUUUACAUAGAAUCCUUCAAAAAUAUCGCUACUCUUUGAAAAAAAUCAAAAGACACCCAACGAUAUUCAUCAAACACCUUAUAAUUCACAAUAGCCAUCAACAUUUCCUAUACUAUAUUCAAACUCAUCAAAAACCUAUCGAGUCCUUCAUAAACAUCACUACUCUUCAAAAAUUUAAAAUUACCUAACGAUAAUUUUGAAAAAUCUGAGCAAAUGGGCAACAAUAAACAAUUCCUAUCUUCUUCAACGAAAAAAGAAGAAUAUAAACAAACAAAGAACUCAAAAAGUUGAAGUCUUGAAAAGUAAAAUUUUCAUUUACAAUUCCAUAAUCAAACACCUUAUAAUAGUCAUAACCAUUCCCUAUAUUUCUCGAACACAUCAAGAAUAUCGUCACAUCUCUAUCGAAUCCUUCAAAAAGAUUCGAAAAAUCAAACAAACACCUAAUAACAUUUUUAAAAAUUCUAAACAAAGUCAGCAACACAAACCAUUCCUAUCUUCAUCAACAAAAAGGAAGAAGAAGAUUCAGAAGAUAAACAAACAAAGAACUAAAAAAUGAAACUUUAAUGAUUAAAGAUUAGUUUUUCUUUUUGUGAUGAAUUAAUCAGGACUCUUAGUAGCACAAAUCAUCAAAGAAAAUCCAUCUUUUUCUUCUUCUUCUUCUUGUUGUUGCUCCAAAUUCUUCUCUUGAUCAAGCCACAAUCUACUAUCCAAUCCACUUCUUGUCCUAAACAUAAACAUUGCACAUCCAGAUUUUGGAUUACACAACCAAUCAUGAACAUCCCACAUAAAAUCCACAACCAAUCCAUCUAAGAAUAUCGUUUGAUUUCCGCGAAAAUUCCAUUGCAAUCUCUUCACUUGUAUCACACUUUUCUUAUCAAUUGAUACAAACAACAUUGAUGAUGAAUUCUUGAUCAAGAUGUCAUGACAUUUUCCAUUAUCACUAAACUUACCCUUAGUUACCAAUACAGAACUACUUGAAAAAUGUUCAUUUCUUGAAACCAAUCCAAAUCUUGAAAAUUUGUCAUCAAGAUUCAAUUUUUUCAACUCAAACUCAUGCCCCAUGUCACCAAGAACCAACCCCACCUCACAAUUCACUAAUAUCUUCACAAAGAACCCUUUGAUUGGUUCAGGACCUCCUUCAUACUUGGCGUUGCACAGAUCCCAAUAAACGUCGAAUCUUGAAGAAUACAAUUCAAUUGUUUGUGAACCUUUGGACUUGUCUAGUAUUGUAACAACUUUCUUGAAAUUCUUGAUGUAUCUUUCACUUAUACUGAUUGAAAAUACAUGUUGUAGUAAACAACACCAUGUAAUUUUGAUCAAGAAUUGUUGCUUCUCUAUUGAUGAAAUCUUCACUUUGUAAAUACAUGUAACAACAUUUUGUAGUGAAGGAAUGUUAUAUACUACUUGAUUUGAUGGAUUGGAACAAUGUGAAUUUGUUACUUUUAUAGCAUGUUCAUUGUAACAACUUGCUAUAUUUCUCAUUCUUGAUCAACAACAACAAAAAAAAAAACACAAAAAGAUGGAAAAAAAAGGGGUGUUUCUUUAAGUGUUUGAUUUAAUUUUUUGGGGGACUAUACUUUGCUUUUGUAGAAAGGAAAUAAUGGAAGAUAUUUGAUAGGUUCUUUUCUUGUAUAAACAGUUUAGUUUAACUAUAACUUGAAGGAGUUGUUUUAAUAUGUAACAAUAAGAUAGAAAAUUGAGGUUUUUGGCCAGGUCAUAGGCCAAAUAAUAAGGGAUACUCUGACCUGAACAAUUCUAAUACUUAUAUAUACUAACUAACACACCUGGUAUUUCGGUAUUUGUAUAAAGAUUCGAUUAAAACUGAAGAAAGUCAGGGUAAAGCGUUAUGUUGAUUUUUCUUGAUUUUCCACUUGGUGUUCGAUAUCUGUUCGAGUGAAUACGAAAUUUACUUUACAUCAAGAUAGUAGUGCAAUGGGCGCGCGGGUAAAAUGGACUGAGUUAAUAAAUACGCGGAUAAUUGAUCCAUCUAAAAGUUAUUUAGGCUAAAACAUGAAUAAAAACUCUAAGUUUGAUAGGUUGAACUUAUAAAUGAGUGAGUCAAUAUUUUUUUGCAAAUAUGACUGAAAAAUACAUCUUAAAAUGUUAGUGAAAGUUUUUAUAGUUUGACUCAAUAAAUAGAAAUCAUGACAAACAAUUAUAACUAAACUAGUCAUUAUAAUAAAUUAAAAUUAAGUGUGAGUUUUUUUUAUACCAUCAUAUUACUUCUAGCUACUUUAAUAUAGUAUAUCACAUCUUAUUUUUAAGAUUAUAAAUCUCAUAUUUUAAAAUUUGAUGUUUAUCCAAGUAAUUUGAUAGUGUAAAGUUUAUUUAUAUUAACGGUAUAUAAUUGUAAUUACUUUGUGAUGAACUUAAUUUCAUUAAUGUGGUUUGCAUUAUCUCUACACAAACUCUAUUUUUUAAUCAAAAGUCAGAAGAAUAGAAAGACCUAAUUAAUUUCUAAGGAUUUUUUAAAUUAAGAGUACUACUACAAAUUUCAGUGACAGGUCAUUAGUUUUUUUUCCAAAAUAUAAUUUAGAAAAAAAACUGUGAAAGUUGACUUGAUCUGAUUCUUCAGAAAUAAAAAAUUAAAAUGCUAGGUGUUGUACUUUAUUCUUUAAAUUAAUUAUUAUUGUGCUUAAUUUGUCCUUUUCUGUGUGCGUCAACUUCUGAAAAAAAACAAAACAUAUAUAUUUAUAGUUUACUUUUUUAAAAAAUAAUUCUUUUUUUUAAUUCAUUUUAAAAAGAAUAAAUUUUUUGUUAUAAUAAUUUUAUCCAAUAAAAGUAGUGCAGUUGAGAACAUUAAAUUUAGUGGAAAUGAAAGAACAUUGAAAGAGUAGACUAAGGGCCCGUUUGGAAGCACUUCUAAUAAGUAGUUUUUAAAAUGUAUUUUUGAAAAUAUUGAAAUUUAUUUUUAAAAUAAAUAGUUAUGUGUUUGGAUAAAAGUAUUGAAAUUAAAAAAAAAAAGUUGUUGAUAUGUUUGGCAAAUAAGUACUGAUAAACACUUUUUAAAAUCAAAAUAUAUGAAAUACCCUUAAAAGUUGUUAACAUGAUAAAAGUUGAUUAAUUUAAUAAUAAUAAUAAUAUAUAAUAAUGAAUAAUAAUAAUAAUAAUAAUAAUAUAAUAAUAAAUAAUAAUAAUAAUAAUAUUAACAAUUAUAGUAAUAUAAUAAUAAUACUAUAUAAUAUAUAAUAUAUAAUAAUAAUAAAGAAUAAUAAAAUAAAUAAUAAAAUUAUAAAAUAUUAAUAAUAAUAUAUAAUAAUAAUAAUACUAAUAUAUAAUAAAAUAAAUAAUAAUAAUAAUAAUUAAAUAUAAACAAUAAUAAUAUUAUAAAAUAAUAUAUAAUAUCUAAUAAUAAUUAUAAAGAAUAAUAACAAAAAUAAUAAAAUAUUAAUUAUAAUAAUAAAGAAUAAAAAAAAUUAAUAAUACUAAUAAUUAUAAUAAUAAUAAUAAUAAUAAAAUAAAGUAAUAAUAAUAAUAAUAAUAAAUAAUAAUAAUAAUAAAAAUAAAAUAAAGGAAUUAAGGACAAAAAGGUAAUAUGCACGAUCAAAAUAAAAUGACUUUUAAGUUGAAAAAAAAAGCUCCUCUCACCUAACUUUUAGCUUUUGACUUAAAAUAAAUCUUUUUGAUAUUUGUUAAAUACUCUAAUAAAUCAAAAAUUGAGUUUUAAAUCAAUUUGACCAGCUUUUAAUCCUAUCCAAAUAGAAUCUAAAGAAUGGUUCCCUUGAACUUGUGUCUUUUUCCAAACAAACACUCAACAGACAUUAAAACAGCAAUAAUAAUAAUAGUAAUUAUUAUUAUUAUUAUUAUUAUUAUAGUUCUUUAUUCUACUAAAAAAAUUAUUAAACCUAUUAAAUACAAAAAAUAUCAUGGCAUGUGAUAUUGGUUAUGGGUUUAUGUUUUUUUUCCAAUAAUAAGAACAUUACCAUUUAUUUUAUAUGUUUUAAUUUGAUUGAACACAAGUAUAAGAGAUAAACAAAGUUCUUUAGAAAUUUAAAAUCAUAAAUAUGUCAUGAGGUUUUUUGUGAACGAUUAUAAAGUAAAGUUUAUUACUUAAACUGCUAUUGAAUUAUUGGAAAUAAAUGAACACACAGCAUGCUAUUUUUUUUCUUCUAUAUUGAAAAUCACUUAUCUUAUAAUAUUAUGCUUAAAAAAUCAAUCAAAUUAUAAUUCAAUCACUUUCAAUGACGUAUGUGAGGAUUAAAUGUAUAUUACUAUAACUGAUAACAAUCUAUUAAGUAAGCGUUAAAUAUAUUCGAUCAUAACUCCGUCCAGGAUUACCUUAUCUUUUAUUGGUGAGGGAUUGCAGUAAUGAUAUGUCUCAUUGCAGGGAGCCUAAAGGAUACAAAAUAUUGACAAAAAUUUCAAAAUGGUAUAUAAAAUUUUUUAUAUUAACCAAAACGGCAAAAUCGCUACAUCAACAGCGAUUUACUCCACCGGAAAAAAUAAAAUUGCUGUAAAGAGAAUAUCUGUGGCCAUAAUAUUUCGAUCGGAGAAUUUGAUAGCUUUGAUUAAGAUUAUGAAAAAAUUUACUUAAUACGUAUAAAUAAUAUAUUCCUAACUGAGUAUGAUAGUAUAUAUUCAUCAUGUGAUAAUAAAUUUUAUGUUAACGGUCAAUCUAUUGUAAUAGUCUUAUAGAAUUUGUAUUCGAUAAUGUAAGCAAACUCAUAUAUAGUUCGUCAUUUAUAUUGUCGCAUUCGUAUUAAAUUCUUUGAAAAUAUACUAUUUUCGAGAAAUUUAAUACUCAACCUCUAAUAUUUUUGAAAAAUAUAAACAAAACAGAUUAAAACAACAAAGAGAGUGUAAAUAUAUUACUCCAAAUUUCAAUGUAGUCAAAGGUCUAACUAUUCUUUGCUUGUUUCAUGUCCAAAAGAAUUCCACUUGCCCAAAUAUUUAAAUUACAUAUUUUUUUUAUUAUCAUUAAGAAAAUUUAUUUGAAUGGUAUUGAUUAAUGAGAUAAAGUAUUUAUCAACUAUGGUUGGUUGGACCUCGAUACUUGUUAAAUUUUUCUAUUUAUUAGGGUUAGAGUAGAAAACAAACAGCCCUAUACUGCCAAUUCACUAAUUUAUCUUAAAAUAAAUCAAUUUGAAACAAAAAAAAUAAUUCCAAGAAAAUGGAAAUAAAGACUGAUUUAUCCGCUAGUACUGGAACGGAAUUAUCUCUAUAACAAUAUCGUUUGUUUUUUAAAAUUUUUGUCCUCUAUAAAAAUCAUUUGAUAUAAAAUUAUAAUAAUAUUCGGCCAUCCUAAGUUUUUAAAAAAACAUAAAUUAAAAUUUUCAUUUUUUUUUAAUCAUGUAAGAAUUGUAAUGUAGCUUAAUUAAUCACAUUUCUUAAUGAUAGAAAAUUAUAUUCUUUGUCAUAUAAUAAUUAAGUAUCAAAAUAUUUGAUCGAUAUUUCUAAAGCUAUUAUCGUUGAUCUUGCAGAGAAAUAAAUAAUCAGUUUGUGAAAAAUUUAAUUGUUAUAAUAAAAUGUUGUUAUAUAAAAAUGUUAUAGAAAGACCUCUUCUGAUAAACUUUUCCUCAGAAAUUUAUGAAUUCCAUGAAAGAAAAUAUUUUCCGUAAUAAAAAAGCUAAUAAAACAGAAGUAUAAAUUACCUAACUCGAACAUUAUUAUUAUUAUACGAGAAGAAUUGUUUCUAAUAAAAAUAUAUUAAUUUUUAUUUAAUAAUAAAUUUGGAACAAUCAUCAAGGGAUCUAUAAAAAAAAAAAAUUAUUCACAACUACUAAUACGAAAAUAAAAUAAAUUAAUAGUGUGAAUACUCAACCAACUAGUCCUGCAAGAUAAUUAAGAUCCAUGUGUUUAGUAAACAUCAUUAAUUAGAUUAGUACCUAUUUUGUUGCAUAUACUAUUGUUGGCCAUAAAAUAUUCAUCAUUCCAUUUCAAGUAUAUAAAUUAUAUUCAUAAAUCGACUAAUAUUUAAUAUUGAGUCCACUGAAUUUGAAUCACACAUUAUAAGGUCUAUUUUUAAGGACGUGUUUCUAAUGGAAUUCUUUUUUUCAUUCCAAAUGGACCAAACCCGACAUCACUAAUCAAAAUAAAGAAGUUUCAAUCAUCUCGUCACAAACUCAAAUUAGUCGCUAAUAUUUUUUUUUUAAUAAAACCUAUAAGUAGGUUAUCUCUAGUUAAAUAGUUUUAACUAAGGUAUAUCGAUUAACGUCAAUGAUAUCUAUGCCACAAAUAACAAAGUGCAUACAAUUAAAUUUGUAAAUAAUUCACAACUUGAGAAUAAAGAAAUUAGGAAGCUACAUUAUCAAUGAAAUUUGUUCAACUAGAACAAAAUUCCGAUAUUUUAUUUUUUGAAAAAAUGUAUGUAUUAUAAAUAUUCAUCAUAAAAUUGACUAAUAUUUCACGAUGAUUUUAAGACUAUCGUAAGGUUUAUUUGCAACCAUCCUUUCUUUAUUCAGGUUUGAGAUCGAUGAGGUGUAAGCUAUCCAAAUUUUUUAACAUACAAAACUUAUCGACGCCCACAUUUCACCCUAUUAUGUUUUGCUAGUAUAACAUAUAAAUUAUUUUGACCUACUUUUUUUUUUUUAUCAAUUUUACACUUCAUAGAUAUAAGACGUAUACAUACAUUAUUUCUACUUUAAUGAGUUAAAAGUUGUUUCUGAAGGUCUCUCGAUUCAAAAGGAAACUAUCCAACGUAGGAUUAUAAGAAAAGAAACAACAAAAUAGCAAAAAACAAAACCAUCUUUGUAACUAUAUAUAUAUUAAAAAGUAUAUAAGCUAAGUAAUAACAACAAUUAAUAACACAUCAAGUGUAAUCUCACAGGUAUGGUUUGAAUAGAGUACAAUGUAUAAUAUCGGGUACUGCUAAGUGAUCAAACAAUUUGAUUAUAAAUUUAAAAAGUUUAUAAUGUAUUUUUUAUUUUAAAAUAAAUUAAUUUUCUUUUCCUUUUUCUUUUUAGUUAAAAAGGUAAAAAUAUUAAAACAAAAAAAAAAAACAAAAUAAUAUAGUUUAAAAUAUGUAUUUUUCCAUUUUAGUCAAAUUUUUCGGUUAAAGAAUUUUUCAUAUAAUAUUAUAUCUUGGGAAAUUCAUAUUAUUUUGUUAGAUAAUAUAUAGAUUCUGUUGACAUAAUAUUUUUUUCUUCGUACCAAACACAUUAUGUUGUAUAACCAUGUAUAACAAGUAUAUAGCAUCUAUAUAUCAGUUAAAUAAAUUUAAAAAAAUCCUUUUAUACUACACAAUAAGGCAAAAAUCCCUUUUAUAACCAUAACCAUAAAAUAAAAAAUAUAUUAAAAACGAACUUUUAAUAUCUUUUAUUUAAUUUUCUUAUACUAUUGACAUAGAGAUGAAUCUAUAAACAACAUAAUAUAUGGUCCAAAAACUUUGCUUUCAAAAGAAUUUUCCUUCAUAAUAAUAAUUCAUCAGUACGAGGAAUUUGGUCCAUUUGUAAUACUAUUUGUCUUACAUUUUUUCAAAAAAUAAAAUAAUAUGUGCACUGAAGCCAUUAUUUAUAUAUGAAAAAGAAAAAAAAUUCUUGAUUAUGAUUUUUUGUACUAUAUAUUUAUAGCAUGCACCUGACAGAAAAAAAAUCAUGCUAACAAAGCAUAAUGAAUUAAUUGGAGUAACCACCAAGUUAUCAAAAUUAUAUUUUCUCAAACGUGAAUCAAAAAAUCCAUUUCGAUUUUCAUAUUAUAUUACUUAUAUAAAAAAAUCUUAAAUUAGAUAAAAUUUAGGCAUGAAUAUGAAAUUCGAUACUGAAUUUGAUCAAAGAAAUUUAGGUACGAUUUGACUAUGCACCUAUGAUCAAGUUGAUUUAAUUUUAGAUUUAUAUCAUAUAUACCAGUUAAUAAUGUAAGGUACUAUAAUAUUUUGCUAUCAUAUUAUUUUAAAACUAGUUGGUACAUUUGAAUAAGGGAAACUUACAUAAAUAUAGUAUAAUGCAGAUUUAAUAUAGUAUUGCUAUAAAUGGUAAUGAGUAAAAAGUAUUGCUACAAUUAAUAAUUAUUUUUUAAAAUGUAUCAAUUUAUGUAAUUUUUUUCUUUGAAUAAUAAUAAAAAAAGUUUUUCGGGUUUUCUAUCGUUUUGUAUAGAUGGGUUAUGACAGCCCAAAUGGAUGAAGCCCAUUAGAGAAGGAUAUUUUGUACCAUUUUCAAUACUUUGAGGGUAUUUUAGGUCCUUUUUCGUUUUUAAAGCAAAUUUAGUGACUUUUUAUUAAUAAUAAACAUAUAAAAAAAAUUCUCAAUUAGCAAAUUUAGUGGCUUUUUCUUAAUAAACAUAUGAAAAAUUCUCAAUUGAAAUAAGUACAAGUAAGGAAGGUUGAGUCUUACCUUACCAAUCCUAAUGAGAUAUCUUCUACUAAUGAUCAACUAUGAAGACAAUACGAGGUAAAGAGAACUAGAUAUUAUAUGAUCAUCACAAAGUUUACUAUAUACUCUGAUGAUUUUACAAGCGAGGAUUCUUAAGCAAAAAAAAUUAUAAAAGCAAGGAGAAAGUUGAGUUAUUAACCUCAAACUUCAUUUUACAAAUGUAAAAAAGAAAGAUUGGUCUUCUAAAGAAACUUGAAAUAUGUUUCUCUUGUUCUCUUUCUCUUCUUGGCGUUAUUGAAUCUUGUUGAGUCGUUGACACUAUCAUAUGAUUCUAUUUCGUCAGUCAUAUAAUAUUUUGAAUUAUAUGGUCAGUUUCAUGUUGGUAGUGUCUACAUGUUUUAUUUAUCUUUGCACCAAUUACUUCUUUGUGCUUUAGGUCCAAAUUGUUAUAAUCUAGCUAGUCUUUGUUAAUUUGAAAUGUUAAAUUGUAUUGAGAUUCACAUUUUAUUAUAAAAAUCCAAAACAGGAAAGUAACAUCUAAUAACUUUCUUAUAUUUUGUAUGUUUGAAAAAAGGAUUUAAAAAUUUUACAAAGACAAAAACGAGAAAUAUGAAUAAGAAAAGAAAAAAAAAAGACAAAAAUUUAACUAAACAUUUAUAGAUUUAAUGUUAACCAGUACAUGUGGUUAUUCUUUGUCUUGCUAACAUGUGGGCAAGGGAGGGAUAAUGAGAUGCUAUGUGUUAUCCAGUCAUAGACGUAAAGAUGACGAUCGUAGGUGAAGUAGACAGAGUCUUUUUCCCAUCUCCAUCUGAGUUCUCGUUCUCAUUUUCAUUCUCAAUUAAAAAGAUAACUAGACAUUCGGGAUCAUGAGGUGGUGCAGACAAGAGGCACCGCGAUAUGUCAAUCCUUAGUAGAAAGUGGCAGGAGCUGAAUUUUUUCGUUAGAAAUAAGAUUCCAAAGAUAACAAUCAUUAAUUAGAAUUAAUGUUUUGUAACACGAGCCACUCAUCCGUAUAAGCAUGUAUUAUAUUUUCUUUAAGUUUAGGUAUACUUUUCAUAUAAUAUCGAUUUUUCGAUACACUGAAAUAAGUUUGUCUCUACAUAUCAUCACCAUGACAUAUAAGAAGCCAAGGGUAUUGAGCAAAAUAGGGAGGUUGUCCAUACUUUUCCUUCUUGUUUUCUUCCAACUCCAUCUUCCCUUUCUUUUCUACUCAAAAACAAAAAAAAUUAAUUAUGUCUACGUUAAAAGAAUAACUAUAACUAUACAUUAUAUAAAGAAAAUAAAAUUAUAUUAGUCCAAAUAUGUCUAGGACAAGGAAAUUUAUUUUACUUAUAGUAAAUAUAAUUUGGAUUUCCAUAAAUAAAAACAUUGCCAAUAAUACAAUUUGACUACACACUUAUGAUCAAGUUGAUUUAAAUUUUAGAUUUAUAUUAACUAAUAAUGUAAGAUACUAUAAUAUUUUACGAUUUUAAAACUAGUUGGUACAUUUGAAUAAUAAUAAUAAAAAAAGGAAAACUUACGUAAAUGUAAUGUAAUAAAAAAAUAUUUACCAUUUAUAGUAAUAAUAUUUAUUUUUCACUUGAUCACUUUUAAUUCAUUUAUAAUACAAGUUUAAUACAUAUUACAAAGAACAAUUUAUUAUUCACAUAUAAUACAAGUUUUAAUGAUAGAUAAUACAUUUAUCACACAUUUUAAUACACUUAUAAUACAAUGUGACAAUCUUUUAAUAAACAUAAUAUAUUUCUAAAACAAUUAUAAUUCAUAUAUAUUGCAUACAUAAUUCACUUUUAAUACAUAUUAGAGAUUUAUCACAGUACUAUUAUAAAUGGUAAUAAAUAAAAAAUAUCAGUAAUUAUUUUUAAAAAUGUAUUAAUUCAUGUAAUUUUUCGAUAAAAAAGAGUUUUUCGGCCCCAAAUGGAUGAAGCCCAUUAGAGAGGCCCAAGUUAAUCUUGUCUGAACAAGUUAACCUUGCCUCUUACCUGUUUGAUGAAAUUCCUCAAAGAAAGUAAAUUAUCCAAGUUGUUGAUCAAUGGGAAUCUUCAAUUUGGUGUUAUAGUUUAGUAUAAAGAUUGAAAAUGGAGAAAAUAAUGGUGUUGCAGUGUAAUUCAUCUUCUCUAUUUACGCAGCUAUGGCCAAUGACAGUUACAGCUACGGCUUAUACCUGCAGGUUUAGCUGCUCUAAUGUUGUUUCUCACAGAUUUACAAGAAGAAUUAACAUGGGGUUUCGUUCUUUUCAAGAAAUUUCUACAAGGAAUAGUGUUGUUAACUUAAGAAAAGCUCAUUUUUGGGAAGAUCCUGAUGAUGGUAGUGAUAGUGAAGAAGAAGAAGAAGAAGAAGAGGAGAGGGAAGAAGAUAUGGAUGUUGAGAGUAGCUUUGAAUAUGAAGAAAAUAGAGCUAUGGACAAUUCUACAAAUGGUUUGUCUAACAGGGAAGAUGAGUUUGUGAAAGGUACUUCCUUUUUCCUGUUUUCAACUUGAAAAGUUAUUAGUUUAUUCAAUAACAACAUAAGCAGUGUAAUUACACAAGUCGGAUAUGGGGAGGAUAGAGUGUACGUAGAUGUUAGAGAUUUUUUUUUUUUAUAUAUAUAUAUAUAUUGAGAAGCUUGUUAUAUUAGAAUUCCAAACUCGCACUCGUAAAGUUCAAAUCCCGAAUCCAUAUCUUCAGUUGGCAGGAGCUCUAGUGCAUCAAUUCAGCUUAUCUUUUGUAUACCUGAUUAUUUUCUUUUUCCUUGUGAUGCAGUAUCUCGUGUCUUUUGGAUCUCCAGAAUCUCUUAUAGUAGUCUCGAAUGUUUCACGUAUAGUUAUCUGAUACCUUUCGAAUCUCAAAUAUCUGAAACUAGCAUGUUCUUUUAUUUUUCAGAAGUUGAACAGCUUUUGAGUCCAGAGGAAAGGGAAAUUUUGUAUCACAAUCAAACUCCAGAGCUGGAUAAGAUAUCAACUGUAAGUUCCAAAGGAUUCAGCUGCUUCUUUCAUAUUUACAUUCUUCUCUGACAAAUAGAUUAGUAUGCAAGCAACGGACUUGCUGUUUGUACCGUCUUAGAUACUACCUACAGUCUUUAGAGACCAAAAUCCACAUUAUUUAAAAGAAUCUAUGGAUAUGCUAGUAUAAUCGCGUAUUCUUUUGCUGGUUUCUGGAGCAAGUCCUGAUACUCUCGAACGUGCUUCUACUCCAGGAAAAAUGGAACCCUCUUCACACUUUUGCACUAGCAGGGCAGAUACGAUUUAUGGAUAGACUUCUAGAGGAGGGUCUUGAUAUUGAUGCCGUUGACAAGGUAGUUACUCUAUCCAUAAUAUAGAUGGUGUUGAUUAACGUUCAAUACUUGUUUGUUCGUUGUGUUUGAAGUAGUUAUUACGUUAAUUGGUGACAGGAAGGGCAAACAGCUCUUCACCAUGCCGUUUUUGGUAAAAAAGAGGCUGUGAUCAGUCAUCUUCUAAGAAAAGGUGCAAACCCUCAAGUCAGGGAUACGGUGAGACAACUGGUUUUUGUUUUUCAACUCCAUCAACAACUUGCUUAAAGUUUCAUUGUGUUGGGUCGUAACAGGAUGGUGUCACCCCUCUACAUUAUGCAGUUCAAGUAGGAGCCUUGCAAACGGUUAAAAUGUUAAUCAAAUACAAGGUUGACGUGAAUGCUGCUGAUAAUGUAAGUGGAUGUUUUAUUUCAUUUUCUCACAUUUUUGUCAUCUUGUUAGCUUAGCGAUGAGUUAUUCUUUCUUACAGGUUGGUUGGACGCCACUGCACGUGGCCAUGCAAAGCAGAAACAGAGACAUAGCAAAAGUUCUUCUUGUCAAUGGAGCAGAUAAGUACAGAAAGAAUAAGGUAAAUUUGUGUAUAAUUGUAACUUCAGCGCGGAACUAGAGUUAUUUCUGGUGCUAUCGUUAAGGCUUAAAAUGGUGGAUGAACUAUGAAAAUGGUAGAUGAACUAUAUUUUGAUCUCCUUAGUGGAAAUCCUGAUUUCACCAAUAGAUGUGCCAAUCCAACUCAAAUGAUAGAUGAACUAUAAAGAUUUAUUAUCCACUAUAGUCAAAGUGAAAAUGUGUAAACCAUAAAACAAAUUACAUGAAAGUCGAAACCUAUAUUAGGCCGAACCGAACUAGAGAAGUAGUUCGAAAAAAGAAAUUAGUGCUUCCACAACGAUUUCUUCUUCUUCUUUUCUCUCAAACGUCAUCACUGAACCCCAUUUAUGGGGAAAUGUGGAGAUUCUUGAAGUUCAACCAUGACUUACACGGCACUAGACACAUUCUAUCUUGUGGAGGAGCAGCUUAGAAACUCGCCUUCUAGGAAAGAUGGAAUUGAUGAAGUUACUAAAACAGCACUUCGAAUCUAUGGUUGUGAUCUCAUCCAAGAAAGUGGGAUUUUGCUCAGAUUACCUCAAGCUGUAAUGGCCACUGGUCAAGUAUUACUUCAUCGCUUUUAGUGCAAGAAAUCAUUUGCCCAUUUUAAUGUGAAUAGUAUUGCAGCUAGUUGUGUUUGGCUUGCAUCAGAACUCAAAGAAGCCCGAGAAAAGCAACGCAGGUGUUUGUUGUUUUCCACAGAAUGGAAUAUAAGAGAGAAAACUUACCUGUAGAACAUCUGGAUACAUCUUCGAAAAAAUAUAUUGAUUUGAAAGCAGACCUAAUCAGAACAGAGAGGCAUCUUUUAAAAGAGAUGGGUUUUAUCUGCCAUGUCGAGCAUCCUCAUAAAUUUAUAUCAAACUACCUUGCAACUCUUGAAACACCUGCAGAAUUGAGACAAGAAGCUUGGAACCUUGCAAAUGACAGUUUGCGCACAACACUCGGUGUAAGAUCAAGAAUGAGGUUGUGGCCUGUGGAGUUGUAUAUGCUGCAGCCCGUAGAUUUCAAGUGACCCUCCCAGAGAAUCCUCCUUGGUGGAAGGCAUUUGAUGCAGAAAAGGCUGAUAUUGGUGAUGUUUGCGGAGUUCUCGCUCAUCUUUACAGCCUUCCAAAGGCGCAAUGCAUUCCUGUGUGCAAGUACGGAGGCCCCUUUGCUUCAUCAAACAGAUCAAGGUUUGUUGGAUGUUCCACCAGUGGGCGAAGAAACUGAGGAAGUUGCUAAAGAUGUAGUAAUAAAAGGUUUGUUGGAUGUUCCACCAGUGGAUGAAGAUACUGAGGAAGUUGCUAAGGAUGUAGUAAUAAAAGCUGCCCUCGAUAAGUUAAAAAGACUCAAAGAAGAGCGAUGAUGACUCUAAAAGCAUGCCUUCAAAAGGGGAGUCAAAAGAAGACCCUGGAAGAGCUGACAAUAGAACAGAUGCCGCUGGAGGAAAGGAGGAGAGAGAGAGAGGACAAGGAAAGACUAAAGUCCCGUGAAUGUGGUUGGGGAAGGAAAUCUGACAGGGAAAGGGAGCGAGGGAUGGAGAAAAAUCCAGGGAAAGGAAUCAUCAUUCAAGAGACGAAGGUCACGCGGAGAAUCCAAAACAUCACUCUUCUCGAGAUUGUGAUUACCAGUCUUAUCCAUCACAGGAGAAGGAUCUUCGUAGACACCAUUAGCUUGGAGAGCGGCCUGGCAAAAUGUUACCAUGCCAAAUAUGUUUGUGGUUUUUCUUGAGCAUAGCUGCAGCUCUUUGCAUAUAUCUGAGAGUGCCUUCUUCGUGAAACAUUGGUUUUACCUUGCCUAUAUAUAUCAUCUAAGGUCUCCUGUAGUCAAGACAUUGGUUUUACCUAUUUGCUUUUACUUCCCAUGAAUAAUUGACUUACCUUUGCUGUCUAAAUUGCUUGUAGACUAAAGCAGGAUUGUUAACUUUCUGCACUACAGUUAUAUACUUGCGUGACUGGGAAAAAAAGCGUAUGCCAUAGUUUACUAAUAUACAUUUUACUUUAGCUUAUGACUUAACCAUGGUAUAGUUGUAUGAUUUUGUGUAAACACGGGAUGCAGAAAGCGGAUUUUUCAUAGCGUGGGUCCUCUUUGACUAGUUAUACCCUACCUAUGUUUCUUUUUUCUUAAAUAUAUGCAUAUGAAAAUUUAAUAACCUCUGGACAUUUACAUUUCACAGGAUGGUAAAACACCCCUUGAUAUUAGCCUUUGUUAUGGCAAAGAUUUCAAGUCUUAUGAUCUGGCUAAGUUACUGAAGCUUGUAAAUGCUAAUAGAGAGCUGUGAUUUGCAUUUUUACUCCCAUCAAAGAUGAAGACAAUCAAUCAUAGUCAAAGAGGAAGUUCUUCAACGCGUUGAGACGGAUACAUAGAAACACAAUUCAGAGCAACUUUUGGACAUGGAAUCACUAGAAUUUUAGAAUAUUUGGGCAGUUGUGUAGUCAGUCUUGCAACAGAUUUGUAAAAAUAGAACAGAACUUGUUUUCUUAUGAUAUGUAUGUGCUUGUGUAGAUUUUAGCACAUUAUAUUGUGCUUGCAUCAGGUGAAUAGGCAAGUCAUGUAUUUACAUGGACUUUACCCCUACCUCACGGUAAUGAAGAAAAAAAAAGCAGUACAAUAUGGAAGUGUCACAAAUAUGUAUCCUAAUAUAGCUGUAACAUAUGAUUACUUGCAAACAAGAAUAUCCAAAGUAUUUUAACGCUAUGGUUACGCAGUUCACAACAGGUACCGCAAUCAUAAUUGUUAUCUCAUCAAACAUUGCCUCUAGCGUUUUAACUGAUCGUGAUGUGCUAGAUAUCGUUUGAUCAGUGCUUUGAAUAGACAGAGGUUUACUACAAGUACAAUAACAUCUAAAACAAUGCAUUUUCUGAUUCUAAGGAACAGGUCAAUCGCCGCUUGCACAACCUUUACAGCCGCAAUGGACACAUUCUAUAACCUUCUCCUCCCUUAGAUGCUGUGGAACUCGACAGACACAGGUUGUUUGAAAGUUGUGAUCCCGCGGUUGCAUGCACCUCAAACAGCAGAGACGCUCAUAACCAGGCUGUAAUUCAAAGGCAAAACCAUAAAGAUUGUGCCAAAGUAUACACAACUAUGGAACCCCCACCCACACACAGGAGAAAUGUACUAAACAAGAGGCAAAACAGAAAUACAUUCAAAAAGAAGAGAUACACAUUGACAUAUGCUGCUUUUUCCAUUUCGCAAGAACUGAAGCAGAGAGGAUGAACAUACCUUUUUCCAUUUCGCAAUCAAAUUUCGAUCAGCAUAUCCUUGAUCCAUGCAAAACUCAUAUAAUUCCUUGGAGAUCUCUUUCCUCCUGUGAAAGAGAUCAAAAAUAUACCGGCUCUUCUGAUGAGCAAUUUUGAAAAUAGGCCACAAAGCCUCGCAUUUUCUUUUGCCAUCAUGAGGAUCAUUCUCAGCUGUACCAGCAGCCAAACAACAAUAAAAUUCAUAUCAACAUUACGAGGUGACAUCAUUUUGACUACAUAAAAACAAUAAGCACAAAAAUUGAUUUUAUGACAAUACCUUCCCUCAUUUUUGCUUGGAGUUCACUAAGAGUAGGUUCAAUCAACUCCCAUCCCUCUGGAUAUUUGACACGGUUUGUUUUCACUUUAGGCAUGACUCUGCACCAAACAGACAUAAAUGUAAAACAUAACCAACAAAUUUAACUCAACUUUCGACUUACACGAGCAGGUUUUUAUGCUUGGUGUUUCAUGCUUAAAUUUCAGGGCCAUCAUACUGAAUUAUGUGUUACAAAUUCAAGAAAAUUACAAUUGAAAGGGAAUUUGUUCACGACGGGAAAGAAGAAACAAGUGCUCAUGAUUGCAGGUGAUAUCAUAGAAGAAAUAUAUGCUGGCUGAUAUCUCUUUCAGUUCUUCUUUUGUUUCUUUCUCUUGUUGCCAAAUACACAGAGCAAAGACGUUUAACAACUAGGUAAAGUGGCUACACGGGAGUACAAAGAAAAUAUUCUGUGAACUGUGAGCCAUCAGUACUUGUAAUUAACAUGACGAUAAGUUUUGGUUGUAAUAAUACCCCUAGGAAAAGAUAAUAACAAUAUUAUAAAAUUUUUACCAAUUAAAAGAACUUGAUAAAACAAGUUCUUCACAAAAAUAUAAUGAUGACAUAUCUUUUGGAUUUCUCCACAUAUUGGCACUAUUACACGGUAAUAGGUCAUAAUAAGAAUUUUAGCAAAACUGCCCACAACAACAUACCCAAUUAAUCCCCAUGGGAUCCAGGGAUGAUAGGAUGUACCCUAUACUUGUGGGGUAAAGAGAUUGUUUCCGAUAGACUCUUGGCUCGAAAGAGAAGUAUCUGAUGAUCGGGAGAAAAUAAAACAGCAAAAUAGCAAAGAUACAAAAAAAGUACAUCAACAUGUAGUAAUACACACUCAAGUACAAGAAACUGCGAGAUAAUUAAAUAGCACUACUAAAAAGGAGAGGAAGAGGCUAGCCCGCUACCUCUCCCACAAAUUAGCAGCAGUGCCAUUAACACAAAUUAUCAUGUCAUGUUAGCAAAGCUGAGUGUGAACAACCUAGCAACCAAACUGGUAUCAGAGUAGCUACAGCGCAGCAGCAACACUAAACUGAAGGGCCUCAGCAAGUGUAGUUUACUUUAGGCUUUGGUCACCCAAGCUUGGGCGUCAGAUGUGUGAGGAUAGGGAAUUUGGUUGGGCUGAUAGAAUUUUUUUUUUUAAAAAAAAAGAGAUUAGCCUUAAGGAGGCCAGCAGAAGCUCUUUAUAAACUUUGGUUAAAAACCAACAAGAAAACCAAGUGCUUGACAGUGACAGCUAAACUGAAAUACGAAAAAGAAAAAAAAAACUACAAACAAAAUCGACCAUGUAUCUCUAAUCUCCCAAUCUCUUCACAUAUCUCAUCCAUCACUUGCAAUUGUCUCCAUCCCUUAGAACCCAAUCUUGUUACACCUCUCUAACUUGUUAUUUAUUCAAGCUCAUUUCUGCUUCCUAUUGCCUCAGUUAUUGACGUUUAACGUCAACUGUGGCAGUACACAAAUAUCGCAUCAAAAUAACGAAAUAUACAGACACUGAUGAUAAAUAUAUUGUCUCAACUUUUGCUUCACAAUGCACCGUGGGUUUUGGUUUUGUUGUUUCAUCAGAAACUUGUACGAUAUAUAGGAUAACUCUUUACUUGCCCUAAGGAAAACCGAGAGUACAGUUUUGCACUGAAGGGUGUGACUUAGUGUCGCCCCUUUAUACGAGGUUCAUUGGCAAGGAAAAGUAUGCCUUAGAACCUCGAUGACGCUCAACACAUUUUAAGCCUCGCACUAGGGCUUGUGCCUUUUCACGCUGACUACACAACCGUGAAUUGUUUGUGCAUUUUUCACUCCAAUACUAAAUCAUUUGUCUCUUAAAAAAAUUAUGAUUUCUCAGUCUUGCAACAGUAACAUAAUCAUGCCCAAAAUCUCAUAAACCAAAUUAUACAUUAAAAUUGCAAUUUAGGGUUUCUUUCGAGUCUUGCAACAGUAACAUAAUCACGCCCAAAUUCUCAUAAAACAAAUUAUACACAAACUCAGCAGUAAUUGCAAUUAACUUUUUUUUCACUAUAAUUAGAUGCAACAAAUACAAUGUUACUUUCGAAUUUCAGAAAAUUUAAACUAAAUUCCUGUAACACAAUUCUCAAAUCCAGCACACAUUGUGAGAUAAUCGAAUACAAAAGAACUUAUUAAAAGCUUAACGAAUUAACCAAAUAUAAUAAGCAAAAGGACACUUUAACUGUUCAAAUAACACAAAAGCAACUUACCGGUGUCGAAUAUUAACUUCCGAUCAAACUUAACGCCGGUGUCAGUGAGAACGACGUCGCCAGAUGCGGAGGCAGCGCCGGUGAGGUCUGAAUCUGGAAACUUCGAUUUCUUAUCGGAAAAAGAAAAAAAAAAGUUCUGUUUUUGUUCUUUGCUAAUAAUUCAAGUCGGAUCUUGGAGCGGAAUACGUGGGUAACCCGAAUCCGAAUAUGAUUUGACCCUUUUUAAAUAUAGAAGGGAAAAAGAUAAAAAAAAAAUAUGCUUAAACUAUCAUUUUUGUUCUUCAUUGAUUUAUUUUCUCUUUUUUUUAUAUAGAAAAUUUGUCGUAUCACAGAAUGGCGAAUUUUUAUCACAAGACUCAAAAAAUUGAGAGGAUUUUAUAGCUAAGAUUUUAAGACUUAUAGAGGUGAUAGUUGAUUGAGAUUGAAUAGUCAAUGUAUACGUCAUGUAUAGUCAAUUCAUACAAUAUAGUUAAGUUAUAUUUAACUUUCUGAGUGCAUCAUAAUGUUUGAUCAGUGUAUAACUCAUGUAUGAAUUUGAAAAACUAUAUUGUAUAAUUAAUGCGAAAAACAUAUAAAAAAUAAUAACACACAUAUACCUCUUUACAUCUAUACCUUACCAAAUAAUUACAAUAUAUAUCCCAUUUACUAAUUUCACUUAAGUGAUAUAUAUAUAUAUAUAUAUAUUGUAUUAGUAUAUUUACAUAUAUACUAUUAUACUAUCAUUGACUAAUAACAGUUUUCCGAAUAAAAAACCUUAUUGAUUUAGUAACAGUUAAGCAAAAUUAUCAAUCUUAAUGAUAUAAAUACAAUAUAUGAUUAUGAUUUAAUAUCACUUAAGCCAAAACUAUCACCCUAAAUAAAUAGUGAUAUGGAUUGUAAUUAUUUAUGAGAGAAAGAGUAUGAGUAUUUUAGGAAUUACUUUAAAUUUGAGUAUAAGUUUAUACUGAUUUUAUGAUCCAUUUAUGUAGUUUUCUCAAGAAUAUCAAUGCAUACUUCCUCUAUAAUGGGCUUCCACCAUUUGGGCUGUGAGUAGCCCAUGUAUGUUCCACUCUCUAGGAAAAAUAAAUAAAGAGAUAAUGGACUUGGGCUUUUCCAGGCUGCGGAUUUGGGCUCUGGCCCUAUUUUAAGGAAAAAUUACUAAAAUACACUACUUUAAUUUAUUUAAUUUCAUUAAUUCCCUACUGAUGUAUUAAAUUACAAAAAUCUCUUUUUUCAUCCCAAAUGAUACUAAUUAAAUUUUAUACAUUAAAUUUCAUGUCUAACACAUAAAAAAAUACUUAAAUUCACAAUUUAAAUUAGAUACUUAAAUUUUUAUAUACUUAUCAAUAUUUCAUAUAAAUAUGAUACUUAAAUAACAGAUGUAUGACAGUAUGACAGUAUGAUACACAUAUACUAUUAUUUGAUACCUUAAUAUAUACGAAAUAUAAGUAAAAAUAAAACAAAGAAUCAUUUUAUCAUGAUCACCAAAAAAUGAUACUUGAUAAAUUAAUUGAACAUACUAACAAAUAUAUUCAAAAAUCAUGAUAAGAUUAAAAAGAUACUUAAUACAAUUCAUCUUAUACUAACAUAUAAAAAACAGAUUAACAUGAUACUUACAAAAUACUAAUUGAAACUAUAUUUUAUAAAGUAUCCGGAAUUCUUAAAAAUAAGGGAUUUUUGGUAAAUAUUGAUAUUAUAAGGAUAGAAUGUAAUUUAUCAUUUACAGUAUGUCAUUUGCCUAAUUUUUACCUAUUUUAACCCUUGAAAUCCAGUGUAUACACCAAGUAUAUACUUCUGUAUACGGAUUAUGUGUUUGCUUUUUUUCUAUUGUAUCGGUGUGUAUACUAAAUUUAUACAGACUGGUUCAUCAUCUGAACAUGUAUGAUAAUUUUUGGCCCAUAUUUGUUACUACUACAGCUGUAUACCGUGAGUGUAUAUUCAUGUGUAUCAGCAUGUAUUGUGUUGCAUAUCAACUCCCUUGAACCUGUAAAAUAGCUUCGUUGCUUGAUUUAAACAUAAUAAUGAGGCAGAAAGAGGAUAGUAUAUUUUAUGUUUUGCUUUUAAAAAGUUAAUUUAAUUAAUUUUUAAAGUUUAAAAUAUUCUAUUAAAUUAGUGUUUAGAGUUUGAAGAUGAGAUUUGAACAUUCAAAAACUAAACGAUUUUUUAUAUAUAAAUAAUUUAACUCCCGAAAGAAAUAGUAGUAACACCUAACAUGAUAAAGUACUAAGAACUACAUAGGGCUGCAACCGGACAUGUUCGAAACAAAGAAGAGAAGUAGUUCAUUAUUAUUUGUAUCAACGAAUACAUGUGUAUUUGCAUUUGUAUUAGUAAAGAGAUCUCUAUAAUUGACACUUAUAAUUUGUAUUUAUAUACUUGAUUUAUCAUUUGUAUUUGUAUUUGUAUAACUAAUUGUUAUGAUUAGUAUUUGUGUUGAGAGAUGAGGAGGUAGAAACAAGCGUGAGAGAGACUAGGUCAGGAGAGGAGAGAUGCGAGGGAUAAAUUAUUGACAAAAAGGAGAGAGACGAGAGAGAUUCUAGGGAGGAGGGAAAGAGGAAAAGAGGAGAGAGAAAAUAGCAAUAAAAUCCAAACUAUUACUACAAAUUGUAAUUAUUUCAAACUACAGUGGUGUACUGUAAAUAAAAAUUACAUUUUUGCCUAAGUAAUUUUCUCAUUAUUAAUAAAUAAAUAUAGUUAUGCUUUAUUUACAUUAAAAAUGUUUUAAAAAUUCAUAGAAAGUCUGCAAUGACUAUAUAGUAUAUACUAUAACUUUCCAAAAGUCAUAAAAAGUAGAGCAAAGGGCAUAAUUCACAUACUUUUAAGGCAAAAUUAAUAUUUGUCCUUAUAAGUUUAUAAUUAUAGAAAUUUCUCAAACUCAUACAAUAAUAUAAGCGCUGAUACAUUAAUUUGAUGCGCUAGAUACAUUAAUCGUUAAGUAAGAUACAUUAUAUUUUAAACAUGAUACACUAAUUUAAUGUACAUUUUAUACAUGAUCACUAAUCUGAUGCGUGAGAUACAUUAAUGUGAUAUGCGAGAUACAUUAAUUUGAUGUGCAAGAUACAUUAAUUUGAUGCGCUGAUACAUUAUAUAUGUGAUAAUAAGGGAUUUUUGGGAUUUGUAACACUAAUAAAGGAUAAUGGUAAUAAGAGGACUUAAAGGUGGACUUUCUGUCAUUUUUCUUAAAACAUAUACAUUGACAAUGCAAUAUAACCUACAUAUACUUGUGUUAUACAUUGUGGUGCACUCAUAAAGCCUAAUAUAGCUUAACUAUAUGCAAAAAUAAGUUAGUUAACAAGCUUGGUCUUCUUUUCCUUUAUUGUACAUGUAAUGUAUCGAUAUUGUAUAAAUAGUAAUGCAAUGUAUCAAUAUUAUAUACAUAAUUUACAAUCACACGCACGUGUAUAUAUAUAUAUAUAUAUGUAUAUAUAUAUAUAUAUAUAUAUAUAUAUAUAUAAAGGACAAAUUUCAAAUAUAUAAAAAUUUAUUAAGUUAUUAGGCUAUAAGAAAUAUAGUCGUAUUUUAUUUACAUUAAAAAUAGUCAAAAAGUCGUAGGAAGUAUACACUAACUAUACAAUAUAUCUUGGAAAAAGUUAUAGAAAGUAUACACUGAUUAUAUAAUAUAGCUUGUCAAAAGUAAUAAAAAGUAUACAUAGAUUAUAUAAUAUAGAAGACUUAUACAUGACUAGACGCUAUGUAUACAUUAUGAUACAUGGAAAAAAUUGAAUAGAGCAUAACUAUACAGGCAUAUAUAUGAAGUAUACAUUAACUAUUUAAUCUCAAUGAACUUAAAUUAACUCUAAAUAGUCCCAAAUUUCAUAUAUUAAAUCCUUUCAGUGUUUCGAGUAUUUGAUUUAUUUUUCACUUGAAAUGACUCACAUUUACAAUGCGUCAAAUUUUUAAAUCAAGUAAACUUUAAAAUUUUAAUGGUUGGUUGAUCACGAAAGAAGGAAGGAAGGAAAGGGAAGAAGAUAAUUCUUAUUGAUUAUAAAGGAGGAGAAGACAUAAAUUGGGCUAAGAAGAUGAUAAGUGAAUCAUAUGGGCUGAAAUUUUGCAUAAUUUUGCUUAGGGCAACUUUCACGUAGCAAACAUAAAAUUUAUAUUUGAAUGUUAUAACAAAGUUUACAUAAUUGUACUUCAUAGCAAGCAUAUAUAUGCAUAAUUCGCUAUACAUAUACAAUUGAAGCGAAAUGUAUAAAACGAUAAAGAGAAAGAGACUUGGACAGAGAAUUGUAUAAAACGAAGUAUAUGAAACGAAUUGUAUAAUUAUAAGUGUGUAAGACGAUUAUACACCAUUUGAAUUUGUAUAAAACGAGAAAGGGAGAAAGACAAAAGAGACUUUGGCAGGGAAUAUACAAUUGAAUCGAAUAGUAUAAUACGAGAAAAAGAGAAAUUAUAUACAAUUUGAAUUCGUAUAAUACGAGAAAGAGAGAAAGACAAAAGAAGACUUGAGCAGAGAAGUACUUUUAUUGUAUCAUUAUAAGUGUAUAAGACGGAGAUAUAUGUAUUUGCAUGUGUAUAUACAAUUUUCUCUCGCUUUAUACAACUAGAAACACAAUUUAUACAAUUUUAUUGUAUAAAGUGAGAGAGGCGAGUGAAGGAAGCGAGUGAGAGAGGAAGAGUGGCGAGCGAGAAUAUGAGGGAGAGAGAUACUGACAAAUAUUUUGAUAUGAAACAUAAAUAAAUCAAACGAUAGCUAUUACUUAUUUUAUAUUAUUAGUUUGAAAUUCUAUACAAUUUAUUCCUUUUUGGUUAUAAACGUCCAAUUGGGCUGUGAAUGGCCCAUGCAUUUUCUCUUGAACAAAUUAUGCAAAGCCUACAAAUUCUAUUUACAUAAAUAUGUUAUGUUUAAAAAAAUAUUUAUCAUUUAUAGUAAAAUAUUUUUUUUCACGUGACCAAUUUUAAUAUUUUUAUAAUACAUUUUAAAUACAUAUUACAAAGAACUAUUUAUUAUUCACAUAUAAUACAAGUUUUAUUGGUGGAUAAUAUAUUUAUCACACAUUUUAAUACAUUUUUAAUACAAUGUGAUAAAUUCUUACCAAACAAGAUAAUAUAUUUAAAAAACAGUUAUAAUACAUAUAUAUUGUAUACAUAAUUCAAUUUUAAUACAUCUUACAUAUUCAACAUAUUAUUGUUACGUAUUGCUAAAAAUAAAACGUAUCACUACAAUUCGUAAUUAUUUAUGAAAAGAUACUCAUCCAAAUAAUUUUCGUUCGGUGUAUUUUUUCCCCAAUAAAAUAGCCAAACUUAAAUAAAAUUAUUUCUUAUUUAAGUUGUUCGCAUGGUUGAGAACGAUUGCAAACGAACCAAAGAUGUAUCUGAAAAUUUCGAGCAAAAUGAUUUCUGGGUUUUAUUGAAGUUUAAUAUCUCUAGGAACUUCAUAUAUAUAUAUAUAUAUAUAUAUAUAUAUAUAUAUAUAGUUAAUGUAUACUUCAUUUAUAUAUUGUUAAGAUAAAUAUAAUCAUGUUUUAUUUAGAUAGAAUAGUCAAAAAUCAUAGAAAGUAUGCAUUGAUUAUACACUAUAGUUCUCCAAAAUUUAUAGAAAGUAUACAUUGAUUGUAAAAUAUAACUUACAUAUGCAUGAGUUAUACACUGAAUAAGCAUUAUUUUGCACUCCAAGAGUUAACAUACGGUAUAAAUUAACUUACAUAUGCAUGAGUUAUCAUUUUUUCAUUACUUUGAAAAUUUAUUAUAUCCAUAAAUAAAUGAUUAAUUACUUUGAAACUAUAGAAUUAUUCAUCCAAUUCAUAAUUAAUAGAACAUAAUAUAUCAUUAAUUAUUUUUUUAAUAGGUGUGUCAAUUCAAAAAUGGACAAGUAAAAAGAGACGAAGGCACCGUACUUGGUUGCUAUCAUUUGGGAUUUUGAAAUUGUAUGCUUGAUUGUUGGAACUCGAAAAAUAAAUGGUUACUUUUAGAAAAGAAAAAAAAAGAUUUUUUUAUAGUGGUUAAUAAUCCCAUUGAAAUCUAAUUAAUUUUGAAUUGUCCAUGCAUAAAGAUUAUAUUAUGUGUGACUUUGAGCAAAAAAUGUUUGGAGUUUGCAAAAUUUAGCCACAAAAUUUCAAAGGGAUAAUGUAUAUAAUAGCAAAUUAAUAACCUAAAAUAAAUGAGGUAGUUAAGGUUUGAUUUAAUUGUGCUCCAUAGCAAACGUUUGUCAAAAUUUGUCAGUCGCCUCUCUCUCAAAAAUCUCGCUCGCCACUCUCCCGUUCUCGCUCCAAUAUCUCGCUCGCUUCCUCACUUUUUAUACAAACACAAGUGUAUAAAAAUUGUUUCUAUUUGUAUAAAGCAGAGAAAGUUGUAUAAAUACAUAUAUUUUUGUUUCCCUUUCUCCCCUCUUCCAGAUCUCACUCGCAACCCUCGCCUUUCUCACUUAUACAAAUAGAAGCGACAUGUAUAAAUUGUGUUUCUGUUUGUAUAAAGCGUGAGAAAAUUGUAUAUACACAUGCAAGUACAUAUAUUUUUCGUCCUAUACACUUAUAAUUAUACAAUAAAAAUACUCCCCUGCCCAGUUUCUUUUGCCUUUCUCUCUUUCUCGUUUUAUACAAAUUCAAACUGUAUCUAAUUUCUCUCUUUAUCGUUUUAUACAAUUCGAUUCAUUGUAUAUUCCCUGUCCAAGUCUCUUUUAUCUUUCUCUUUCUCAUUUUAUACAAAUUCAAAUUGUAUAUAAUCGUUCUAUACACUUAUAAUCAUACAAUUCGUUUUAUACACUUCUUUUAUACAAUUCUCUGUCCAAGUGUCUUUCUCUUUCUCGUUUUAUACACUUCGUUUUAUACAAUUCACUUCAACUGUAUAUGUAUAGCGAAUUAUACAGUUUCUAUAUUUGCUAGGGAGCGCAAUUAUGCAAACUUUGCUAUAGCAUAUAAAUAUAAAAUUUUUAUUUGCUAUAUGUAAAAGUUGCCCAAUUUCAAAACAUCAAUACCGUAUAGGUCUAGUUGUAUAUAUUACAAACAUGGAAAAAGACAUAAGUUUUUCCUUGAACUUGUCUUGCAAAGUCAUUUUACGCACUUAAUUACACACAUAUACUAUUCGAAAAUGAAUCAUCUUACCCCCUAAAACUGACUUGGCAAAAAAAUAAAAUAAAAAAUAGGCGCGUCAAUUUUGAUAAUAAGUAAAAAAAAUGUUAGAAUUUUCUUUUACACCCCCAUUCCCCAUACCUUUCUUCUUCACACCUCACCUGUUGUCCUCUUCUUCUUCGUUCUUUUUUUUUCAUCACACUUUUUUAUUUUUUAAUCACAAACUUAAAGCACUUUUUUUUAUCCACAAUUAAGUUAAUUCUCAUAGAUUUAUUAGUGAAUAAUUGUAUAUUAUCUAGAAAACAUUGGUUGAUUAUUUUUAUCUAUUUUAUUUCCUUGAUUUUGUACAAGAAAUUUCAAUUGUUGAUCGAUUUUUGGGUUUGGUGGUGAUGAGUAGCGGGUGACAAAAUUUAAAAGAGAGAAUUGAAGACGGUAAAGAAGGAAAAAUCAAUAUUAAUAAUAGUGAUAUUUAGUGUUAGGUAACAGAGAAGACGAAGAAUUGAAGAUGAUAUAGUGCUAGUACGAAAAAAAUUAAUGGUGAAAGUGGUCGAAUAUCAUUUUUUCGAUCAAACGAGAAUUGAAACGUGUGAGAUUUAGUGAUGAAAAAUAUAUAAUUAUUAGAGAAUUAAAAUAAUUAAUUAAAGAUUAAUUAGAGUAAAACAUAAUCAAUAAAAAAAAGUUAAUCAAUAACGAAAAGAAAAUAAAAAAAUUAUAAUUUAUGACGUGACAUUGAUGUAACAACGAGUGUAAUUCAUUAUAGAAUGUAAAGAUGGUGUUAUUUCAUUUAAUUUGGGAUAGGGGUGGUAGGUAUGGGGGGCUGGUAGGGGGUAAGAAGGGGUGGUGGUGAUAAAUUUAUUUUAAUAAAAAAUAUAAAAAAAAUUGUUAAUUUUUUAUGGGAUGAGGUGUUGGGGGGGGGGGGUAGUUUGGGGUGUGGUAUAUUGUCAUUUUUUUCUCCUUAAUUAAUCAAAGAAGUAAACGGCCAUGAAAUUUUGUAAUACUCUUUUGGAAAAUUGUCUCCUUUACUUUUAAGCUGAAAAUGACAUUAAUUUGAUUAUAUUUGAUCAUAAAUAUUAAUUGGAGUUGUUCAAAAUUUGUGGGAGUAAAAUGGAAUGAAAUAGUUUUUAGUGUUUUUCUUUUUGGAUUUUUAACCAUGAAGAUAAUAACUAAAAAAAUCAUUUUAUUUGAAAAAUUAAAAAUUAGCGUUAAAUCAUAUUUUUUUUAGAAUAAUUCAAAUAAGAUUAUUGAUCCGUCAAAUUUAAAUUGAGAUACAAAAUUUAUUUAUUUAAAUUAAUUGGUUCUAAUUGAUUUCCUUAAAUAGAGGAGUAAAUUAGGAUUUCAAAAUACAUAGAUAAUUAAUUUCAUUUUAUUGUUCUUUAAAAUAUUAAAUUCAUUGAUAUUAUAAUAUAAGAUAAAACAGUGGAUAUCUUGAUAAUGUAAUUUGGUUAAUUUCACAUUAUUACUCUUUAAAUAAUAAAUUCAUUAAUUUGAUAUAUCUAUUAUUAAUAUAUGAAGUAUCUAACAAACUAAACACUUAGAUACAUGAGUAUCAUACUAAGUAUAUAGAUUUAUAUAGCAUUGAUUUCAUGUAUUUGUUAUACAUAUCUAUUAUUAAUAUUAUGUAUCUGUUUAUAUAUAUCCAAUAAUAAUUUCAUUUAAUAUUUUGUAUCUAUUUAUAUAUAUCCAAUAUUAAUUUCAUUUAAUAUUUUGUAUCUAUUUAUAUAUAUCCAAUAUUAAUUUUAUGUAUUUUGUCAUACGUAUUUAGUAUUAAUUUAUAAUAAUAAUAAUAACAAUAAUAAUAAUGAUAUAUGUCUACUCAGUUCCUUCAAAUUAAAAAAAAAGUUCUCCUUUUUUUAUAAAGUCAAAAGUGAAUAUAUUAGGAACCGAUAUUUUUUAUUCAUGGAAAUCCCAAUUAUAUUAGAGUAAUUUAAUUAGAAAUAAAAUUGGCAAUAUUUUUUAUUUAUGGAAAUCCCACUUCCUAGUAUUCAUGUUUGAUUUUGUAGAAAAAAAGAUGGAUAGAGAUAGAAAGCAUUGGAGAAAUAGCAAUUUUUGUAAAUCGUUCUUCAGAAACGGCUUGUUUCACGAGAGGCACAAAUCUUAAUGGAGAAUCCAUCUACUUCAACUGUGAUCGUUAUCUAUAUGUCUAUAUAACUUGAUGACACAUAGCAUAUCAUUAUCCCUACCUUGCCCACAUGUUUCCAAGAAAAACCUCUACAUGCGUUGGUUAACGCUAAAUUAGUGAAUGUUUAUUUAGUUUUUUUUUAAUUUUAAUGCUAACUUAGUGAAAGUUUAUUUAGCUUUUGGUUAGUAUACAACAAAUGUUUUGUGCUAUUUGAUAUAGUUUUUUUAUUAAUUUGCAUUUUGCACGUUCAGGCUUCAUAUUAACUUCCUAUUAUUAUGUCAAUUAGGUUAAGCCUAGAGAACCAUUAAGAGAAAUAUUUAGACUUAAAUAAGCUUCGAUGCCCAAGUAAUUUAAAGACUUAAUAGAAAACACCUUAUUGUUUAUCG
rnacentral:lncRNA from 1 species